UCUUUCCUUGGUUUUCAUCGAUACUCUAAGCGAAGGAUCACCAUAAUCAUGAUGCUCUUCAUGAACGGCGUCGUGGAUUCGGCGUGAACGAAGGCGGUUCGUGGAUUCGGAUCGUGGGCUCGUGGAUUCGAGUGGCGUCGUGGAUUCGGCGUGAUUGAAGCUUCGUGGAUUCGAAGUGGAGGCGUUCGUGGAUUCGAACGUGAGGGCGUGGACAACCUGGAGGAUUGCGCGAGAUUCAUAGGAGGUUAAGAGAGGUUGAGUCCGUGGAGUCGGUAAUCACCUUAUAAUCUUUUCUCUUAGUGAAUUAUUUUUUCGCGUGUUGGUCCCGUGGGUUUUUUUUCCAAGUUGAAGUUUUCCCACGUAAAUCUCGGUGUGCUUUUUAUUUUCCGCAUUUAUUUUUAUAGCAUCGAGAUUUGUGAUUUUUGGCCGGUACACCUAUUCACCCUCCUCUAGGUGAUAGAUACAAUCUAGAUAGAUCCUUGGGCUCCUCAAAACUUUCAGUCCACACCUAGGAUUGUAGUUCAUAUGUCCUUGUUUUCUAACUGUCGAGUUUUCUAAUCAACCUAGAGUUAUCAACCCAUGUUCAGUAUGAAUCUAGUAUAUAUCCAAAAUGUCAACAUUCAUAUACCAUCUAGCAUAUUCCAUAAUAUGUCAAUAUGCAAAAUCCAAUGGUAGGUAACAUCAACUAGCAUAAUAUGAUUUAUGCAUUCAUAUUAUCAUAUACAACCUACCACUACACAUAUAUGCAUCAAUGAGAAAAUCAUACUCCACUUCGACAUGGAAACGACCUAGUCACUUCGGUGAAGAACAACCCACCUCACAAUGCUCUCCAAUUGCUUGUAGUUGCUUGCAAUCGGACUUCCGCUGCACACGUUGUCCGGUUCGACCCGAACUCGCAAUCGGCAACCGAACACUCGCCGAUUCUCAACCUAGAGUCACCUAGGGCUCUCCUCAAUCCUUCAAUUAAAGAAUUAGGGGAUGAAUUAGGUUCGAAACCCUAAAUCCUCAAAAUUCCUAAUUUCCAAACCCUAGUUUUCAUAUUCUCCAAAGAUCCCAAAACUCAUGGAGCAACAUGAUAAUCUAGCUUGGAAUAGUCUAGGGAUCACUAGAAUAUCAUGCAUAAAGGAUUUAACACAAAUCCUAACUCAAACCAUGAGAUCUUACCUUAGGCCGCCAUGCUCAUCAAGCUAAAUCCACCAUUGGAGAGCUUGCUUCACCACAAAGUUUCUUCUCCAACUAUUUCCAAGUUUAACCUCCAAUUUCCUCUCUUUAGUGGAGAGAUUGCAAAAGAGGGAAAGAGUGGUGAGAGCUAGAGAGAAAGAGAGAAAGAGAGAAGACUUGCUUCCCCUCUCUCUCUCGGGUUGAACCAACAUAAAUGGGGAAAAGCAAUUGUUACAUAUAUAGGCCCCCCAACACUAAUACAAUUUUCAGUUUAGCAGUUCAGAAUCUGAUACUUUUCACCAAAGCCCUUCUGAAUGUCCGUUUGCGCUCAAAUUUGACAAUGUGGCUCGGUUUAAAUUAACAAGAAGAGCGAAAUCUUAACUUCUCAGUUUCGAACCAUUUUUGGUCACAGAAAGCUCUACCGACUAAAAUCUCUAGCAAAUAGCAGUCAGAUUUUAUUUUCCACUUUCCGAAUGUCGGAAUGAUAUGAAACUUUAAAUCUAGCCUAAUAAAAUUAAAUCUGACAUAUUCUCAAACUUUCAUAAUUUUCUGACGCAGUGAAUUUUUUGCUAAAAUAUCAGCUCCGUUUCUUACAGAAAAUUCUAAAUCUUCUGUUUCCAUUCCAAUUUCAACACAAGUCAUUUCCGACUUAUAUUUCACUUCUUUAAGUCCAAUAAAAAUAAUAUCUUACACUAUUUUUAUUUAUAUUUACUUUUAUAUUAAAAAUCCGGAACAUUACAGUGUGUGUGCGCGUUUUGAAGAGGAAAGGGGAGAAGGGCCCCAUAUAUAGGCCCUCAAGUGAAAUUACCCUUUUACCACUCUAAAACUGCAUUCUGUCAGGCUGAGUAUCGGUACUCAGGUUCGUGUACCGGUAUUCGGCUGUUCAGUACCGGUACCCCGUUCCAGUACCUCAAAACCCGAGAGUUAAUAUUCUCAGUUUUCCACUGCGUACCAGUAUUCAAUUUCCAGUACCGGUACCCAAUACGAAUCCAGUACCGGUACCUGAGCUUGGUUCCUCAGAACCCGAGAGCUCGUAUUCCACAUUUUGUAUUGCGUACCGGUACUCAGAAUCCUAGUACCGAUACUCAAUACAAACUCUACAGCUUAGGCAGAUUUCAACUUUUUGAGUCCGUUCGCGUCUAGUUUGCGCCGAAAACAAUCAAAUGCUCUCCAAACCUUGGUGGAACUUAUUUAAUUAGCUUCUUAAGCUAAUUCCCACCGAAACUUCAUAAUUAUAGAAGUUUGGUAUGCAAGUUUUGAGGGAGUCCAAGGAUCUAUCUAGAUUGUAUCCAACACUUAGAGGGGGGUGAAUAGGUGUAACGACCAAAAACCACAAAUCUCGAUGCAAUAAAAGUAAAUGCGAAAAAUAAAAAUCACACCGAGAUUUACGUGGGAAAACUCCAAUUUGGAGAAAAACCCACGGGGCCAACACGCGAUAACAAUCCACUAAGAAUAAAAGAUUAUGAGGUGAUUUACCGAAUCCACGGACUCAAACCUCUCUUUUAUCUUCUCCGGAUCUCGCGCACACCAAUGGGUUGUCCACGCCCUACGUCCGAAUCCACGAACGCCACGUCCCGAAUCCACGAAACGUCCACACUUCGAAUCCACGAAGUCUUGAUCACGCCGAAUCCAUGACGCCCACUCGAAUCCACGAGCACACUCCGUCCGGAGCAAGAACAAUACGAUCUAUGAUGAUUUAUUGCUUAGAUAAUCAUGAAAGAGCCGUAGAAGAUAUUUCUAAGCAAUAGCCGGAUCAAUUCUCCAUGAAGAACAAGAAAUUAGGAUUUCAAGAAUUGAUCCAAUAGAAACUUGUUGUUGGAGAAAGAAAGAAAGCACCCAACAAGUUUCUAGGGUUUUAAAAAGAUAUUCUAUGCUUAACCAUGUUUUAGAAACACCCCUACAUCUUAUUUAUAGGUUUAGAAGACUUAGAGAUAGACUAGGAUUUGAAAAACUGAUCUUUAAAAACAAAAGACGGUCUAAGGGUUCGGACCUUAUGCAGGGUCUGGACCUUGAAGGCCCGUAUCUUGACUUCAGGGUCCGGACCCUCCCUGCGUAACCGCAAAUACAACGUAUGGGGUUCGGACCUUAACCCGAGACUCCGGACCCUCGCUGUGUGUUUGAAAAUUCGAUCUACGGGGUCCGGACCUUAGCUCUAGAGUCCGGACCCUCACUGCAUACACGUAGAGAGGACCUUCGGGGUCCGGACCUUGAUCCUAUGGUCCGGAUCCCGAACCUUGAAAAACUCUGUUUUGAAAUAUUAUCAUUUUAAACCUAUUCUAAUGUCUUCUAAACACUUGAAAAUAUUAAUAAAUCAUCAUCAAUAGUAUUUAAACUUACCGAGCAUUGUGGAUCUAUGUUUUGAGUCUUCGAGUCUUCGAUCUUUGUCCCUUCUUCUUUAAUCCUUCAAGACUCCGACUUACUUCACGAAAUAUGUCAACUUAAAAUCCGUAACAAUCUCCCCCUUUGACAAUUUCGUGACAAAAGCAAAAAAUAAAUCAAAAUACACACAACGCUCAACUCUCCAAAAAAAAAAACUUAAAAUUCGUUGCCAUUACCAAAACAAUGAACUUCUCGCAUGAAAGAUCAAAAAAAAAAUACAAAAUUAUAAUUUGUAACUCCUAAACAAACUCUAUGACUUAAACAUAAGGAGCCUUGAAGUCUUCAAAAUCUGAAAAAAAAUCACUUUCUCCACAAACAAAGUUAGUAAUAAAAGUUUAAAAUACAUCCCCCUUUGUUCAUGCCUUUUUUUUUUUUCCUUUGUUCAUGCUUCUUUUUUUAAUUCAUUUCUUUUUUUAAAAAAAAUCUCAUUUUCUCGCUCUCCCCCUUUUUGUCAAAAAUUGCCAAAAGAAAGUAUCAAAAAUGAGAGAGUCCCAAUAAUAUUAGUGCAUGAAUAGUAUAAAUUCACAUAGACUUCAUUCAAUCCACAUCAAUUUCAUAGAAAUUAAGAAUUUCACUACAAGAUCACCAAGAUGUAGAUAAAAUAUACUAAAAUUUCUUUAUCCAUAUAUAUUUCAAAAUCAAGUCAUCAAAAAUAAUCUAAAAGCUCAAAAUCUAUCAAGAUGUAACGGAUUAUAAAGAUGACUUAUGAAAAUUCACCAAAUGACAGAAAUUUGUCGCAUAAACGUUCAAAUUCGAGAUCAAGCAAUAAUGUACCAGGGUGGCUCUUUGAGCAUUUUUUUACUAAACAACCUUAUUACACCGAAAAAUUUUUAUAUAAUAUGAACACUUUUUCAACCUUUUCGAUUAUGCACUAGAAUUUCAUGUGGUAAUUUCACACACUUACCGGACGACCCGGGUGGUAGCUCUUUCCUACAUGUGAUGGUAGUUUUCACACUCCCUUUGGGAUGUAACUCUUUCCACAUCUUUUAAGCACUUGGAGUGUUUCACCUUUUUCAUUUAUUCAUUUUUUAUGUAUUACUCCUCUUUAAUUAUGCAAUAUCUUAUUUGAAAGAAAAAUUUGACAAGUUUUAGUCUAUUAGCAAAUUUUCAUUCAUCAAAUUCAACACACACAACCGAGAUAGGUUAAGUGUCUAAAGAUUACACAUGAUUACUCAAAUUUGAUGAAUAUAAGAAUUAAGAUAUUCUAUUAUAAAUUAUCUUCAUAAAUAGUGAUAAUGAAGUGAAACCGAUAAUUAAUAUGAAAUUAAUGAAUGUAAAUUAUCAGUGUUCAACGCACUAUUUAAUGUUUAAUCACCGAAUGAAUCUCAAAAAAUUUGAAGCACAUGUAAUGCAAUGAUCAAAAGAUAUGUAAUAAAACCGAUCAUAGCAAAACAUAAAGUCAAACACAAAUUAAGACUUAAGACAAGGAAAGAUAUCACCUUUUCGAAUCCAAACUUGCCGGAUUAUUGGUUGUCUUGAUUUGUUGCAGUCGGGUACCGAUGGUUUAAACGUUUGAUUGAUCCGAGGUACUCGACUCGAUUGAUGUUGCUUUGGAAUCUAUAGGGGAAGUCGAGUAUUGGAAGAUGCCGAUAGAUGCUUAGACAAUGCCGGUUGAUGUUUCUUUUUCUUAUUAGGGCAUGUCUUCUUUAUGUGUCCUUUGCAACCACAUCUAUGGCAAAUCUUCUCUUUCAAAUUUGUUGAGACUGUAUGAAUUGCCUUUUGAUCCUUCUCAACAUAAGUCCUUUCGUAUCCAAGUCCACACUUGUUCGUUUGACCCAAUCCGAGCAUAUUAUCCAAUUUCUUCGAUCCAGAAGAAAAUUUUUGAAUGUUGGACUUGAGUUGACGAACUUGAUUGGUCAAGAUUUGGUUGGAUGCAUAAGAUUCCUUAAAUUGAUGCUCCAAAAAUCCAACCUUAUCUUGAUAAGAUUUGAUCUUUAAAUCCGAUUCAUCUAGCUUCUCUUGGAGGAUCUUAUUGUUCUUCAAAAUCGAUUCCCUUUCCUUCUCUAGAGCUUUAUUUGACGUACCCAAUGUCUUAUUCUCAUCCUCAAGCUCAAGUAGUCGUUUUCUUAGCCUUUUGUUGUGCUUGGCCAUCUUCUUUGAUUCUUCGAGAAGUUGUUGGUAUGCCUCGGCCAAGCUUUCAUCAUCCGACUCCCCCUCACUCUCGCCAUCAUCGCUCGACGUUCCAUGCAAGGAAGUAGAAACAAAAGAGUCAGAAAUAAUUGAAGAUAAACAAAAAGUCGAAGAGGGAGGUAUAUAGGUUUGAGAACUUAAAGCAAUAUUAAUUUUCUCCUCUUCACUUGAGGUCGAUUUGUCAGAAGUAGAAUCGUCCCAAGUUUUUGCUUGCAAAGCCUUUUGUUUGUAAGAUCUUUUAGAAGGACAAUCCGUGGAAAUAUGGCUGUAGCCUUUACAUUUGUAACAUUGGAUUUUUCCUUCAAAAUCAUCUUUUUCUUUAGAAGGUUUUGCAAGUUUUUUGUCUUUCAAUUUAGAACUCGAAGAUUGUUUAGAAAACAAAUUUUGUUUCGAGGAUGAAGCUUUGUUUUUCCGAAAGUUCCGUCGAAAUUUCUUUGUUAAAAGCGUCAGUUGAUGCUCAAAAUCAGCGGGCGAAAUAUCUUCGUCAGAAUUCAAGUCGUCGUCUCAUUCCUUUGUAGAUUUGAGUGCAAUCCCUGUACUUUUAGAAAAAAAAAACUUGGAAGAUUGGUUAGUAGGAAAAGUCAUCUCAUAAGUUUGCAAAGCACCUACUAACUCUUCGACUUUCAUCUCGUCCGGAUGCUUUACGGUUUCGAUCGCGGCAACUUUUGCCCGAAAGCGUUCCGGAAGAGUCCGAAGAAUUUUUCGAACAACCUUAGAAUCCGGAAUUUUCUCUCCUAAGUUAGCGCAUGUAUUAACAAUGUCUUGAAGUCGAGUAUAGUACUCGGUAAAGGUCUCGUUUUCUUCCAUAAAAAUUGAGUCAAAUUUGCUUGUCAACAUUUGUAAUUUUUGAACCUUUACCAAGCUAGUUCCUUCAUGCCUAACUUGUAGAGUAUACCAAAUCUCCUUUGCGGUUUCACACGCCGAAACACGAGUAAACUCCGUUUGCGAUAAAGCAUUGAAUAAAGCAUUAAUUCCUUUACCGUUAAACGAAGAUGACUCGUUUUCAUCUUUCGUCCACUUGUUCCGUGGUUUAGGAACGGUAGCAUUAUCGACGACUUCGGUAGGAUGCUUCCAACCGAAUUCAAUAGCUUUCCACACUCGCUCAUCGAUUGCGAUUAGAAAAGCUCUCAUGCGAACUUUCCAAUAGGCAUAAUUUGUGCCGUCAAAGAGCGGUGGUCGAUUAAUAUUACCGCCUUCGGCCAUUAGAUAUCAAUAUAUCUAGAUCCCGCUCUGAUACCAAUUGCAAGUUUUGAGGGAGCCCAAGAAUCUAUCUAGAUUGUAUCCAACACCUAGAGGGGGGUGAAUAGGUGUAAUGACCAAAAAUCACAAAUCUCGAUGCAAUAAAAGUAAAUGCGAAAAAUAAAAAUCACACCGAGAUUUACAUGAGAAAACUCCAACUUGGAGUAAAAAAUCCACGGGACCAACACGUGAUAAUAAUCCACUAAGAAUAAAAGAUUACAAGGUGAUUUACCGAAUCCACGGACUCAAACCUCUCUUUUAUCUUCACCGGAUCUUGCGUACACCAAUGGGUUGUCCACGCCCUACGUUCGAAUCCACGAACGCCACGUCCCGAAUCCACGAAACGUCCAUACUUCGAAUCCACGAAGCCUUGAUCACGCCGAAUCCACGACGCCCACUCGAAUCCACGAGCACACUCCGUCCGGAGCAAGAACAGUACGAUCGAUGAUGAUUUAUUGCUUAGAUAAUCAUGAAAGAGCCGUAGAAGAUAUUUCUAAGCAAUAGCCGGAUCAAUUCUCCAUGAAGAAUAAGAAAUUAGGGUUUCAAGAAUUGAUCCAAUAGAAACUUGUUGUUGGAGAAAGAAAGAGAGCACCCAACAAGUUUCUAAGGUUUCAAAAAGAUAUUCUAUGCUUAGCCAUGUUUUAGAACACCCCUACAUCUUAUUUAUAGGUUUAGAAGACUUAGAGAUAGACUAGGAUUUGAAAAACUGAUCUUUAAAAACAAAAGACGGUCUAAGGGUCCGGACCUUACGCAGGGUCCGGACCUUGAAGGUCCGGAUCUUGACUUUAGGGUCCGGACCCUCCUUACGUAACCGCAAAUACAAUGUACGGGGUUCGGACCUUAACCCGAGAGUGCGGACCCUCGCUGCGUGUUUGAAAAUGCGAUCUACGGGGUCCGGACCUUAGCUCUAGGGUCCGGACCCUCGCUGCAUACACGCAGAGAGGACCUUCGGGGUCCGGACCUUGAUCCCAGGGUCCGGAUCCCGAACCUUGAAAAACUCUAUUUUGAAAUAUUAUCAUUUUAAACCUAUUCUAAUGUCUUCUAAACACUUGAAAAUAUUAAUAAAUCAUCAUCAAUAGUAUUUAAACUUACCGAGCAUUGUGGAUCUAUGUUUUGAGUCUUCGAGUCUUCGAUCUUUGUCCCUUCUUCUUUAAUCCUUUAAGACUCCGACUUACUUCACGAAAUAUGCCAACUUAAAAUCCGUAACACGGUAUAUUACAGCUAAGCCAGGGCUUCUUUGGUGAAGAAGACAAGGAAGAGAGAAAGAAGAUUGAGGAGUUACUUAUAGAAGGCUAGCAAUUGCACAAAACCCCCGAAAAGUGAAGAAAUUGCAUUCUAUGCAGUUUUAGCCUGUAAUAGUGCAAAGUCCGGAUUUUCCCAAGCAAGAUCCGGAGUCCAAGCCUAAUUUCACCUUUUUUGUAGCCAAAGUCUGGAUUUCCCCAACCAAGGUCCGGACAUCUAUACUGUGAACAGUGAUUUCAACAUUUUCUAAUUUUUUUUUCUAUUUUCAUCCCAAAACUUUGAUUUUUGUUCUAUUUUCUCUCUAAAUCAAAUUAACACAACCCAAACUCCUCCAACACACCUUAAACACUUCCAAGACCUUCCCAUAUUGGGAAUUCUAAAUUUAUCUUAUAAAAAGGUUAAACAUUGGAGCACAAUCAUUCUUCUAAAUUUUUAUUUUCUUCCAACUAUUUUUUAAUUUAUUCAUACCUCUUGAAAUCUUACUGCAUCACCCCGGAUACUUUCUAAUCCACUUUUAUUACCCCCAAACACUUUAAAUGCAACCUUUAAUCGCUAUUUUACUAAAUUUUUCUGAAGUUUUGUAGAUUCCUUCAAAUCUUACUUUUGAACCUAUUUCCUUAAUGACUUAUUUUUUUACUCUUCCUAAAUCAUUUUUUUAAAUAGUUUCACUAGUUACUUCACAUCAGGAAUCCACUUAUAUGGCUUGGGUCCUAUAUGUUACAUUCCUUCCUCUUUAAAAAAGAGUUUCGUUCGUGGAACACAAGCACAAGCCGUCCUCACGGGAAUGUAGUUAGACUUUACUCCUGCAUGUCAAACUCUAACUUGGCAAUAGCAUUGCAACAUAAUCAAAUAACCUCAAGGGUUACACAAAUACCUCACACUAGGUCCUUUCCACCAUAGUCACUUUCCUUAACAUGUUCACAUACGAUAACUUCACCAGCUUCUUGUGCACCGUGAUCAAUUUUUUACUUACUUUUUUUUUCAUAGAGGAUGAUCUUCAACCACCAAUUUUCUCCUCUCAACAUACUUUCUCUUCAUUAUGCGGUGAAUUCCUCAACUCUAGCUCCCGUCCUUCGCUAAUUACAUAGAGUAAACUAGGAAUUCAACAUCGCUCAAGAUCCAUCUUAGUUAUUCAAAUAUCCUGCUUACCAUAGAAGGUUUUCUCCUAAUGUCAACCUUACACGUGGCUCUCUCAUACUUUCGGGCCAUUGCUCCAACAACCGUCCUAACUAUAUAGUUUUAGCUCAACCCUGAUGUUUCAAUCUUGAGCUGCCAUUACAAAAAUUUGAAUGUGCCUAUCCUUCAGGGUCCCAGGCUCACAAGCCACUAUGUGGUCCAGGUAUAGAUAUUCCCUAGCAAUGCCCAAUAACCAUCUCUGUGAGUCCCAGGCACUCCCGGCAUCCUCGGGCUGCCCAUAUUUCAAGCAUUUCCAAAGGUCUCACCUCAACAAUUAAACAACCACUACAAUUUGUCUCAUCAAAUAAUUAGGUCCCAACCAUCAUUUCCAUUGGUUCACUAUAAUGAGCAACCGAACUUUCUAUUAAUUUCCCAGCAUCAAAUAAUUCAUUCAUGAGACUCAAAAUCGUACUCCAAAUGGAAUUUGCAUCUUGGUGCAUAAAUCUCAUUUCUAAACCAGAUUCCAAUUGUUUACCAAGCUCCACGAGGUUACUCUCACAUAUUAUCCUAUAUUUAUGUCACUCUAGCACCCUAGCUAUAUAGCCUAUAGGCAUGACAUCAUCAAUUAGUUUGCUGGUGAUGUAGGGAUCACCGUCGCAAAGGGUAAACUCCUAACAAUCCUCAAAGUCAAAUUCCUACUAUCUAGGUUUGCAAAAGAUCAUAAUUUUGCUUCCUACAAUCAUUCACCAAAAUCAUCCUAAACUCAAUAUUGCACCAAAUUCACGAGACAAAAAUGAUCAACUCUCACAAAUUUGCGUUGAUGAAUAUUCUAAUUUAUUAAACAUUAUAUAAAAUCAUACCUGCCACAACAUCAUCUACAACCGGCUACUCAUCUACUUGAGUCAUCUAUAUCCAACUAUAUAUAUUCCAUCUCUAUCUGGGCUCGCUAACAAAUCCGCUGCAUACGUGUGAAUGGUAAGCGAGAAGAAACUCUACAGCUAAUAUGCCACUACACUACCACUACUCAUGUCAUGCUCCAUGUGUAUAUGUGCAUCACUAGUUACGAAAUAGUCACAACUGACUCAAUCCAAAAGAACCGCCAACCAGCUAGUCCAGCCUGUGCCUAAGCUACUCUGCUCACCACCCAUAAGUAGGGCUGGCAAAUGAGCGAGCCAGCUCGUGUUCGACUCGUGUUCGGCUCGAUAUUCGGCUCGCUCGAGCUCGGCUCAAAUUAAUUUCAAGCAAGCUUGAGCCUAAAUUUAGGCUCAAAAUUAAUUUCAAGCUGAGCUUGAGUAUUACUCGGCUCGCUCGAAUUAAGCUCGAAAAGCUCGAAAUAUAUAUAUAUAUAUAUUUAUAUAGUCUACUAUACUAUUAAUAGUACCAACCACUUGCUAUUAGGUUUUCGACCUUUGGAUGAAGGAAUGUGCGGUUAGAAUGACAGUGAUCCUCUAGGGUUGAGUGAGUGGUUAGUUGAAUAAUAUGAUCUAACGGCACAAAAUUCGAUAGUACCAAGCAUUUAGUACUAUCGAUAAUAUAGUAGUCGGGCUCUCUCUCUCUCUCUCUCUCUCUCUCUCUCUCUCUCUCUCUCUCUCUCUAUAUAUAUAUAUAUAUAUAUAUAUAUAUAUAUAGUCCGACUACUCUACUAUCUAUACUAUCUAUACUAUCUAUAGUACUAACCGCUUUGUACUAUUGAGUUUUUUGCCGUUAGAUCUGCCUAUAUAUAUAUAUAUAUAUAUAUAGAGUCCGGCUAUUAUACUAUCGAUAGUACCAAGCAUUUGGUGCUAUCGAGUUUUCUGCUGUUAGAUCUAUCCCUUUAGCCAUUUUCAUCCGUUAGAUUAUAAUAUUCAACUAGCCACCCACUCAACCCUAGGAGGCUACUAUCAUCCUAACCGCACAUCCUUUCAUCCAAGGGCCGAAAAUCUAAUAGUAAGCGGUUUGUGCUAUUAAUAGUAUAGUAGCCUAAUUCUAUAUAUAUAUGUUCGGGCUACUAUACUCUUAUAAGUAUAAACCCCUUUAUACUUAUAAAUGUUCAACCGUUGGAUGUGUGAUUAGAAUGAUAGUGGUCCCCUAAGAUAGAGUGGGUGGUUCGUUGAAUAGUAUGAUUUAACGGAUGAAAAUGGUCAAAAGAAUAGAUCUAACGGUCGAAAACUUAUGAGUAUAAAGGGGUUUAUACUAAUAAAAGUACAUAUAGUAGCCAAACUCUCUAUAUAUAUAAUUAUAUAUAAUAUAUAUUUUAAUUAUAUAAAAUAAUAUAUAUUAUGUAUUUUAAUUAUAUGUAUAUAGAAUUUAGAUUAUUGGGCCCACAAAAUCAAACCAGCAAAAUCCUACUCUAAUUGCUCUCUUUCUCUCUUUUUUACUUCCUCGCGAAGUCGCUUUUCCUAAUUUUUUUAGUAUUAUAAUAUCGUAUUUCAUGCAUUUAUUUUAUAUGUUAAACUAUUAGAUAUUUUUUAUAUCAAAUUUUGAAUAUUAUUUUAUAAAAAUUAAAGUAUAGAUUGCAUGAUGUUAAGAAUUUCAAGCAGCUCGUUUAGGGCUCGAGCUCGCUCGACUCGAAGUUAGGCUCGCUCGAGCUCGGCUCGAAUUAAUUUCAAGCCAAGCUUGAGCCUAAAUUUAGGCUCGAAAUUAAUUUCAAGCCAAGCUUGAGCUGAGGUAAGCUCGCUCGAGCUCGGCUCGUUUCCACCCCUACCCAUAAGGGUGGCCAAUCUAAGUAGAAUGCCCAAAAAGGCUGCUGCGACAAGAGCGCGAAAAAGUCUCACUCUGGAGCAGCACUCGGGGGACCUACGCAGCCCAACAAAAGUCCAGCAAAAGAGUGUACUCUCUCAAGCUCAAUCAAACUCAUGCAGGCUGUAAUCGACACAAAUGAUCAAAUAAAUCUAAGAACCAAAGCUCACGUGCCCACGGCACAAUCUAAUGUAAAAGCUGCGAUGCCCCAACUUCCCAGACGGUCACUCAUUCUAGGGCUACUCCCUUUCUAUCACGCUUAACUCUUUUAACCUCUUGGGCCUAACUACCACCCAAAAUGUUUAAGAUGGGUUAAGAGUUUUAGCCCUAUUAUAUCCUAUAUAUAGGACUAUCUAGGGUCUCACAUUCUCUCCCACUUUAAGCCCUGGCGUCCUCGUCAGACUUAGACUCACAAGUACCAGGCGAUGUGAGACUCGUCUCACUAGCCUAAACCGACUUUGUAGGGGAGCCGCGCUCUACUCACAACAACCAACAGCAUGAGAGCCUUACUCUCCAUGUUGUAUAAUUUUAGCUAAGACGAAACUCAUCUCACACUUCCGACUGGUAAUUGGCUCUGAUAGCAACUAUGACGCCCCAACUUCCUAGGGGGUCACCCAUCCUACAACUACUCCCGUCCUAAAAUGGCUUAACUCUUUUAGGACUAUCUAGGGUCUCACAAAAGCAAGGACUGGGUCCACUAUCAGCCCUCGUCCCAGCACCCGACAAUGUGAAAUAGCCUAAACACUAUUGUAAAAAUUCACUCGGCAUCUGAGCACGAGCGUAAAUCCUACCUACACCAUUAUGAGUAUCCGCGACGCACGAACAGCAUCGAUACAACAAUAAAAACAACUAUUGAAGCUAAAUCAAGUAUAAUGGCAAUGAUAUAUUAAGUGCAGGUUUUCUCCUAAGUCAAUUCCCAAAUUCAGCAUGUAAUAGUCAUCUAAAUACUAAAAUAUGCUCUAAAUUCAGAUUUUAUAUAAUAACAUGCAAAUCCAUGAUUCGAGCUACUAAACGUGAUAAUCGAUACAUUUUCAACACAUCCUAAAAUUUCAAUAACCUAGAAGAAAUUCUGAAGAUUUCGAUAAAUAUUAACUCAUCUGAAUCGCUAAUCCAACCACGGAACAAAGGACUCAAGGACUACCAACUCAAUCAACUCUCUCUCAAGCUGCUGCACUACUAGAGCCUCUAGCAGCAGGAUCUGGGUGCCGAAACCUGAGCCCAGAUUCUCAACUAGUAGUCCAUAAUAGUAAGAGAUCAACAUAAACCCACAAUUCAAAAUUCUGGAAUUGGAGUUCAAACUUACUUAAACUUAGGGCGUGUUUGGUUCGCCCCUUUUUCACCAUGGAAACGGAAUGUGAAUGGACGAAUCGAUUUGUCCGUAUUUGGUAUGCGGGAUUUUCAUUCUGAUUUUGAUUCUCCGGUGAAUCAGAAUCUCCCCAAUUACCAACUUUUCCAAUCCGGCCUAGGAGACCGGAUUGGAAAUUGAAUCCGGACAUAAUGGAUUUGUUUGGAUUAAAACAUAAGUUUAAGUUUAAAAAUUAUAUUUAUAAAUUUAAAUUUUAAUUUGCACUUAAAUUAAAAAUUAAAAUUCAAUCAAGCAUUUUGAAUCUAAUUUAUAAAUUUGAAUUUGAAUUUAAAUUUAAUUUUAAAAUCUAAAGUUUUAUUCAAAUUUAAUUUAAAAUUUAAAUUAAAUUUAUGGAUUCAAAUUGAAAUUUAAAUUAUAAUUUUAAGUUUGAAUUUGAAUAAAUCAAAAUUUAGUUUUAUAUAUUGAAUUAUUCAUUCAAUUUCAAAUUUUAAUUUAUUUAAAAAAUAUAUAUAAAAUUUUGAUAUUAUUUUAAAAUUUUGACGCAAAUUUUUAAUAUUUAAUUUUCAAUUUGAAUUUAAACUAAUAUAUUAUAAAGAUAAAAUUAGUAUAUUAAUUUGAUUAUAUUUUUAAUAUCUAUUUGAACCAAACACCGAUAAUGAAAAUAGUUCAUUCCAAUUUCGAUUCAGGUGGCGAACCAAACAGAAUGAGGUAAUGGAUCAUUCUGAUUCCAUUUCUAUCUUAUUCUCAUUUCGAUUCUGUUACCGAUUCCGACUUUGAACCAAACACAUCCUUACUUUCUAGCAGUAGGAUUAGACCGAUUCUGACUUCGAACUAAACACACCCUUAGUUUCUAGCAGCAGGAUUAGACCCUAAAUCAGGGUACACCUCUAGUUCGCAACUCAAAACAGCACUCCAAGCCCUUUAGCUACAAUUUGAAUCCAAAAAGGGCUAGAAGCCCGAAUCAACAUCCAAAAUUCAGCACUACAGCACUUCAAAUUCAGUUGAGCUAAAAUCUAAAAAUUCUAACAUGUAAAUCCAGUGGAAAGGAGUCUAAAACUUCCAAAAAUGAGGAAAGAAUCCAUUCAAAUGUGAAAAUCAACUCUCCAACAAAAUCUGGAUUCAAAAUUCCAUCAAAAUCAAGUGAAGACCCCAAAACUGUACUAUUACAUAACAAUUCAAAAUUCUGAAUAUUUCUCAACUUCAAAUUUGAAAAUUUUGGUGAGGAAUGCUCCAAACUAGUGGAGAAGGAUGUGAAACCAAUUCCAAGUUCGGAAUUUCCACUACAACAAGAAUCAAACCAUGAAAAACCAAGAAAUCCAACUAAAUUCCAAAAUUAGCUCAAAACCUCCAAUUCGACUCAAUUUCAAAAAAUUGAUAUCACUAACCUGGAAUUAAAGAUGAGGAAGGUAGUUAACACACUCCCUUUCAAGUCUACAACCAACGAAUUGCACCUCCACAACCUCAGGUUUCAACAAAAGUCCACAAAACCUAGGUUUGCUCCUACUGCUGUAGGCUGAAUUCUUGCUAAUGCAACAAUGCUCCAGGGAGAAAGAGUGAAAUUGAGUUAAUUUGGAGGGGUUUUAGCUAGGGGAAAGGAGUUCCCUGAGAAGAAGAGGAGAAAGAGCUCAAUGAGAAAGUCCACCCACUUUUAUAAAGGUGUUGGAAAGGUAAAAUGAACUCCACAGAAAACAGCAACUAAACCUAUCACUACAGAAAAUCUAAAAUUUGGACGCCCUAAACCCAGAAUUAAGUGCCCAAAACAGCUCGCCACACCCAAACGAAAGUCCGGAAAGUUAAUCUAGUCUAACACUCCUCACCUACCACCUGCCACGUGUUAAAACUGUCGAUAUUCACGAGGAAGGCUGCCAAACCCAAUCUGGGCUCACUUCUGGGUGCCUAUACUGGGCCCAAAAUAACUUCAGUAAUAAAUACCAAAUAGCACUCCGAAUCUGGGCACCCUAAUCUAAUUUCUGGGCAUCCUAAACUGUCAUAACUUCAAUUUGGAUUAUUUGAGUGCACUAAGUUCGUUUUCGUGUCCAUUUCGUGCCAAAAUAACUCCGACUCAUUCCGACACUCUACAAAUUUGUCGACCAGUCACUGAUACUGUAGUCAUUCCGACAGCUAACCUCGAGGGACACUACAAUGGCGACCAUAGAUGUAAAAAAUAUCUAAGAGUUUAAAAAAAUUGCAUGUGUUUGCAAUUAAGAUUAUGAUCACAAUCUAAAACAAAAUUAUUUUUCAAGAAAAUUUUUAUGUCACAUAGAAAAAUAAUGAAUCCAAAAAAGGCAACAUGUAGAAUUAAUUGAUAAUCAUAGAUGCAUAAUAAGAGAAGCAUGCAGUCAUAUCAAAACAUCACAAGCAUGAUAAUCAAAAGAUGAAAACAAACAAAUCAUGCUUCGAUACUAAUUGUUAGCGAAAGUGGGCAGUGGAUACUUAUAACCUGAACAGCCAAUGUAUCCAAGAAUCAGAUCAAGCUGCUUAUUUUACAAGCUUUGUUGGACCAUCCUGGCAUUCAAUACUUCUAGAUCUUCCAUGAGCCUCAUCUUCUCCCACAUAUUGCUUCUUGGAUGUGAAAAGGAAUACCCGAGUCCUCUUCUAUAUCCAUAUAGCACUCCUCCCAUAUAUCGCUUCUUGGAUGUGAAGAGGGCGUGUAGAGUCCUAUUCUAUAUCCAUGCAUGCUUCACAAGCCUGGGACAUCAGUGGUGGAAUAGAGAAAUUGGCUGAGAAAGGGAAAAGGAUGGAGGGAAUUCUCUUAUCUAUUUAUAUUAUUUUGAUUAGGAAGAAAGAGAUCCAAUAUAUAUUUUGUCUUUCUUCCCAAUAUAUUGAUCAACCUCUCUAGACAAUCGGGGAGGAAUAUAAUUAAUGGAGGGAUAAGGUUGAAUUCAAAUAGGUAAGUUUAAAUUCAAAUUUAUUUAAACUCAACCUUAUCCAUUUCCCAUGAAGAAAUAAGGUUGAAUUCAAACCUACUUGAAUUCAAUAUUAUCCACUCAUCAUUGUGCUGAACCUUAAUCUGCAAUGUGAAUGAUCCAUAUCAGGUCAAAUCCGAGCCGAUUGUGUUUAACGUCAUCCAAUAUAGACACACUACAUGGCAUCAUAAAAAAAUAAUUACAAAAUUAAAGUACACAUUUGGUCCCUAUACUUUCUUUCAUUAAAUAGUUUAGACCCUAAACUUUCACAAACAUUAUACUUUUAUUCACUAUUCAUAAAAAAAAAGAUGCUCUUUUCUGAAUGAACUACUUUGUCCCACUGUAAAAUAGCAUAACCUAUUUUAUAGCAAAAAUCAAAAUUUCUCCAAUGAGUAAAAAGCAAUUUAUGUAUCAAAGUUCAAAUAUCAAUGCUUCUGGUACACCAAUAAAAAUAGUGUAAACCUUAUACCCUAAGUCUUAUGUGGCUUUUGUUUGCUCAUUUGUAUUAUUAUUAUUAGUUAAACAAAAACUUUUUUAAAAAAAUUUAUAAAUCUGUAGAUUCAAUGGUGUGAAAUUUAUCCCUCUAAAAGGAAAUAGAAGUAGCAUUUUUCAAGUACAAAUGCGAAAAUGUGUAAUAUCCUAAGGGCGCGUUUUCGCGUUGUAUAACAUUACAGAUUAUUUCGACAUAUUUAGAUAUUUUGAAUUUCUGAAUGAGAUUACUAUUGAUGUUGUAUUAACACGUUUGAUUUAAUGCAAUAAUGUAAUACUAGGUUACAGUGUAUAUAACAUUAUUAUGUUUGGUUCAGUUUAUAAAAUUCAGUAAUUCUGGCAACAAAGUGUAAUCUAUUCCAAAAUUAUUUUUAGCCAUAUUUGGCAAAAAUAUUUACUAUUUACAAAUAAUAUUUUUUUUAGAAAAUUUUAUUUCAAAUAAUUUAAAUAUUGAACUUAAAUUUUAUUUUUAAUUUUAAAUUUAAAAUAUAAAAUUUUAAAUCUAAACAAAACAUAAAAUUUAAUAUUUUAAUUUAAAAUAUAAAUUUAAAAUUUAUAAAUUUUGAAUUUUAACUUUUAAAUAUAAAUAUGAAUUUAUAAUUUAUAAUUUAUAAUUUAAAAUCUAAAUUUAAAAUUUAGAAUUUAAAAUCUAGAUUUGAUGUUUAAAAUUUUAAAACUUGAAACAUGAAACUUGAAACUUGAAAUUUAAAAAAUUAAAAUUUAAAAUUUAAAAAUUAAAAUUUGAAAAUUAAAAAUUAAAAUUUAAAAUUUGACAAUUUAAAAAUUUAAAUUAAAAUUUUAAAAAUGUCGUAUCGAAAGGGUUUUUGUGUUCGGAGAGAUAAACUCAUAAUUUUACAUAAAUGCAAGAUAACCUGAUAUUAGUAAUACGAGAUACCCACGCGCACUCGGUAAUAUUUUUGGUGUAAUCCUGUACCAUUCGCAAUGCUGAUUAUUGACCAAAUUACAUAUUGAAUGAAUCAGACGUAAUAAUACUAUCAGAAUUACCUGUAGAAUAACCCGAACCAAAUGCACACUAAGUCUUGUGUGGCUUAUGCUUGCUCAUUUGUCUUAUUAUUAUUAUUAGUUAAACAAAAACCUUUUUAAAAAAAUUUAUAAAUCUUUAGAUUCAAUGGUGUGAAAUUUAUCCCUCUAAAAGAAAAUAGUAGCAUUUUUCAAGUACAAAUGCAAAAACGUGUAAAUAAAAAAAUAGGACCAACUAAUUUACAGUAUCAUUAUAGUAUAGGGAAUAUUAAUCCAUUUUUAACCUUUUAAAAGGGGUACUAUUUAUCACUUCAAAUGCUGUUAUAUAUAUUAAUUAGGGCCCGCCAGGCACUGAAGUCUAUUUAAUGUUAAUAUAUAAAAAAAGUUGGGGGCGGGUAGCGUGCUAUCUAUUUUUUAAAAAAAAUAAAAAGAAGUUGGGGUAAAACUAUAUAGUGAUAUGAUUUCGCGUUUAGUCAGAUUUACGAUCGACUCAUUGCGAUUGCCAUAUAUAUAACGUAAUAUUAUAUAUCAAAACAAACGAAAUAUUUUUUUUUCAUCAUAUUUUUUUUUAUGGUACGUAACGUAAUUCUUCAGUAAUUCCAAAAUCCCCAUAUCUCUAAACUAAAAGUGGGUCCUUAUGGAUUCAGAAACAUGGAAAACUUUUCGGGAAUUCUUAGUAGCAGCACUGCUUUUUUUUUAUUAUUAUUCUUUUUUUUCGUUGGUAGUAUUGACAGCAGUACUCUGUAGUAGUUAUAUGAAAUAUCAACCUCAUCACCACUAUCGACGAAGGACGAACGACAGUGUCCGGCUACGUACCGCGUCCUCGGUCCGACGUGCUUCGCACGCUAUCGCUCCCCUGUCAGCUCCAGACCGGGACGCCACAGAAACAGCAACGCACCCUCCUUAUAAUUCCACCACGCGAGCUUUAAACUUCGUGCGUCGUGGCCAAAAUAAUUUAAAUUUUAAAAGAGAGCCUCCUCCGGCCGUGUUUAGUUUUUUUUUUUUUUCUUUUUUUCCUGAAAGAGAAAAAGAUACUGAAAAAAAUAAAAUAAUUAAAUUUAAAAUUUAAAAUUGGAGUAUCAACCAUCUUGCCAUUGACACUAAAAAUUUACAAUGUUUAGCUGUUAAUCGAAACAGCUCUAAAUUAGUGGGUGUUCUGAAAUCAAUUAUUGGACUACAUCAUUCCAAACCACUUCCUCCUCCUCCUCCUCCUCCUGAAGCCAGGGCCCAGAGAGAGAUAGACACUACGUCAUGGACGCGUGUCGUUUGCCGAUUGGAUUGGAAACUCACUCAUCUAUAUAAACACCAGAGAGCAGAGAAGAAAGUCUAUUAUGCAGCGGUUACAUUUUACUAUUUACAAGUAUAGAAAUUUGCCUAAUGUGGCGAAUAAAAAAUUUUUAGUAAAAAUUUAUAAAUUGAAUAAACAAAGAUAGAACAUAAUAAAAAAAAAAGAAGGUUAUUCCUAUAUUUCAUUAAAUUUAAUAAUAUAAAAAAUAAAUUAAAGUUUUAAAAUGGAAUUAUAAUUCUACGAAAAGCAUAAAGAACUAUAAGAGAAGAAAAAUUAUUACUGUCACAGCCCGCGACCACGCCUAUUUGGCCUGGUUCGGGCUGCCGACAGCGCCAAACGGACAGAGUUUUUUCUGUACCACGGAUAGAAUCUCCCCUGUACGUCUAAGGCGUCGUAAUCAAUACAAUACACGAGAUUCCAAACAGGAACUGCAUUCAAGUAAAGAUUGCAUAAGGAAAUAUCAAAACAUAAACAUCUACUGCUAUUACAAGCAUUCACAUACAUGCAUUUUACAUCACAAUUACAAUUUGUUUUCUUCCAAAUACAAUCUAAAUUAUUACAACAUUUAUAAUUUUGUUACAAUUUUGUUCUUUUCAUUUCCUAUAUCCCUAGGAUAUGCCGACUCGGGGUAUUGCUAUCUCUGGUCCAAUGGUAGAGCGCUAUUUACAGAGCUACGCCUUUUUCUUGCGCCGCCGCGCCGCUUACUUGUGAACCUGAAACUCCAAAAUCACGUGGGGUGAGAACUAUUGUCCAUAGUUCCCAGUGAGUACGGCCACCCAAGGAAAAAGCUCGACCAGCCAGGUCCAAAGGAGGCAACCAACAUGUUAGUCCAACAAAUAGAUAUAACAACAGAAUUUAUGCAACUAACAUUUAUCAUGUUUUUGCCUCACAAAUGCAGAAAUACAAACUAUGCAAUAAUGUAAUUUAUGCAACCAUGCAACUAAUGCACAACUAGUAGAUCAUCCGAUACUACUUUCUAUCUCGCUAUCUAGCUCAUAUCCAACUAGCUUCUAAGGUUUCUAUUACCUUAGAUCCAUAUCAUUUACCACUAGCCCUUAAAGUUUUAUCUACCUUAACCAAGCUAGUCACCCGACUCGGCCUCGAGUCAAUCAACUACAGAGUACCGCGCUCUGUCCGGCUCGAGGUGAAGGAACCCUCACAUACACCUCAACCUUCAAUUCACAUACCACAUCGCCCAACGGGUCGCCUAGAACUGCGUACACCCGUGAUCAGGGAUCUUUCCGGUGGGAGGGGAAUAUGCCACACAGUCCCCGCAGCCCAAGACCCCCAAUAGGGAGGGGAAUAUGCCACACACACCCUAGCGAUCCAAGAUUCUUUCGGUGGGAGGGGAAUAUGCCACACAGCCCCCGCGGCCAAUAACUGUCGAGUUCACAAGUCCUAGGAUUCCGGAAUCCACUUUCCAAGUCUCAAGGGUAGAGAUACACCCUAUACUGUCGACCUAUCUAGGCUCGACCCAUGCACAUCCUAGUGGUCACUCUGCCACUAUAUAUGUCCACAACCUAGGUUCAACCACACUAGGUUCUAUGUCACUUUCACCUACUUGACAUCCUAAUUGUCCAUAUCGAGUACUAUAGUUACAUGUUCUUGUUUUCCAAUGUCGAGUUCUCUAAACAAUCUAGAGUUAUCGACCCAAGUCCACAUGCAUAUGUAUAAUCUAGCAUGUAUUUUCAACAUGCGAAUAUACAAUUAUCAUCUAGCAUAUAUUCCACAACAUGUUAUCAUGUAUAUUCUAUUUAGCAUUUUAUCACCAUGUCAACAUGCAUGCACUUGUCAUUUAAUGGUAGUUAUACAUAUCAUCUCAUGCAUUUACAUGGCAUCUACCUAUGCAUUCAUAUAUGUGAUCACUACAACAGAAUUAUGUAAGGACUGAGUUUUGGCAGUGUAGCUAGACUCUCUGUUGACGAUAUUUUUGUGUGUAAAUUAAUUACAAAAGUACUUGUCAAGUUUCGGGAGAAAACGAGUUAGAACGGAGAUUUUACGCGAUCUUCAGUUUCACUUAAAGUAAAUAGUAACUCGGUUUUCCGAAGAGACCAAUGCAUGGAGUUGGCUUCUGGCGCGUAUCGGACUCCGUUUAUAGCGAUCCAAUAGCUCGUUUUGAUCGGUUCAACUAUUCUAGAACCAAUGGCGCUGACGGAUUACAGGUUUGGCGCACGGAUUUCGAGAAAUCUAAAAAUACGUAUAUUAUAUGUAUUUGUGCGUCGUUUCGCCUUUCAGAGAGAGAACUGGUUUUAUCGCGAAUCCGUGACAAAACGAGGUGAAACAAAAUUGUGGAUUUGAUGUCUCUGUCGUGCUGAUCGCACUGGUGUGAUCCGUUCGCAAAUCUGACAGACGGAUCUGCUGAUAUCGUGCGUUGAUUGAGGAGGGGUCUUAAAUGGCAGAAUAGUAUUUUUACGAAAACCUCGACAUUUUAUGUACCGUUUUGCGUAAAAUUGAUUGUGGAGGUGUAUUCGCGCAUUUUACUCACGCUGUGAGGGACUCAAUAUUAAAUAUUGAGUUUAGAGGGACUUUGGCGCAAACUGGAGCUUUACUUAUAUAGCUCUCUAGGGUUUUGUACUUGGAAACCCUAACCCUAACUCUAGCCCUAGCCGUGCACCCUGCCACCUUCACCUCUCUCCCCUGCCUCGCCGCGCACGCGCCGGUCGCCGACGACCGAGCCCUGGCUAGCCAGCAGCCGCUGCAGCCACAGCCGCAGCCUUUGCCACCUUCCCUCUCCAUCUCUCUCCCUCUAUCUCUCUUCAUCUCGGUUUGAGGACGAGGCCCGAGGCUGCUCUCCUCUCCGGCGUCACCCCCGGAGUCCUGGUGAGCGUCCCCGCCGGCCGCCGCCGCCCCUUAGCGCCGCCGCUGCCGCCCCACCACCCUGCUGCCAGCUAGGGCAAACUCGUGCCGAGCUGAGCUUCAUCAGCUAGCCGCGCACCGCCGCCGCCUGAGGCCACACUCGCCGCCUUCCCCGGAACCCCGGCGACCUUCCCCGCCGGUCGCCGCCAUCCUUGCGGGCAGCCGCCGCCGCUUCUGUCAGCUUGCAGCCGGUCCAGAUCUGCUCGGGCCGAGGUUGACUUGCGGCUCCAUCCUCCCGCCGCCGCCGCCUGGAGCCACCCAGCAACAUCCCUCCUGCCUUAGGCGACCCCUCGCCGCCGCCCCGAGGUGCCCCGGCCAGUGCCGUGGCCGCCAUUGCCUCUAGACCCGAGCCUUAGCUCGUGCGGGCUUGGCUCUCCGCCGAUUCCGCCGCCGCUCCUCGCCGCCAGCCAAGGUGAGCACUGUGCUCCUCCCUCCCCCGCACCCACCUCUGGCCCGCUACAUGCAAGUGUCAUCUACUAGCAUAUACUUCAUAAUAUGUUAACAUUUAUGUACCAACUAGCAUAUAUUUCAUCCAAGGUAGUUAUUACAUAGCAUCUCAUGCAUUCUCAUGGCAUCCACCCUAUGCAUUCAUCUAUGCAAUUGACUACAAUUAUAUAUAAAUGCAUCAAUUAGAAAACUGUACUUCACUUCGACAUGGAAGCGAUCUAGUCACUUCGGUGAAGCACAACCCACCUCUUAACGCGUUCCGAUUGCUUGUAGUCACUUGUAAUCGGCCUCCCGCGGCAUACGCCGCCCGGUUCGACUCAAACUCGCGAUCGACCACCGAACACCCAACAAUCCGCAAUCUAGAGUUGCUUAGGAUCCUUCUCUCACCUCCAAUUAGAGAAAUAUGUGGUUAAAUUAGAUCAAAACCCAUAAAAUUCCAAAACCCCAAUUCUAAGCCCUAGAUCACCCAUUUCAUCAAAUACUAUAUGAAAUUCAUGGGGAAACAUGCUUAGAAUACUCUAGGAAUCCAUAAAACAUCAAGCAUUAAGGAUUUAUCCAAAUCCAAGAAGCUUACCAAAAUGCGAACGCCGAGACGGAAGCACACCGCUCAAACGGGUGCACGAGGGCCCGAACCGUCGCCUCCCACGCGUUCACAAGGUCCUUCUCCUCCAAGCCUUCGAAUUUGGGAGAUAGAUCUAGAGAGAGGAGGGAGAUAUCUAGAGAGAGGGAGAGGUGUUUCUCUCUCUACCUUAGUGUGUGUGUGUGUGGGUUUGAGCUGGGGAAGAAGGAAAAAGGGGUCAAACCUCCUUUUAAAAGCAACCCCCACUAUUUUUACAAUUCUGCCCCUGUUGUACUCGGCAUUUUCGGGCUUCGGGGUCCGGACCUUGCACUCAGGGUCCGGAUCCCGUAGGUCCAGAAAAUCAGCAACUUUUGAUACUUCGCCAAAUUUUCAGCAAUUUCAGCCUUUGGUCCGUUUUCGCUCGUUUUUGCUCGUAGGGCCUCUAAUUCAUCUCUAAUCGUACCGAGACCCCCAAAACAUAUUUUCGAGCGCAUUCAAACCAUCUUUUCAUCCAUGCCUUACCGGAUUUCGGCCAAGGUCCAAUCAUACCUUUUUGGGUUCCGUUUUCGCGCCCGACGCGUACCGAAAACACCCGAGUGCUUCUGAACUUCACCGAAACUACUCUAACAACUCUUUGAGCAAGUUCCCGCCGAAACUUCACAACUUUAGAAGUUCGGUACCUUACAAUUAUAUAGAUAUCAGACUCCUUCAUAGCCUCAUUUAGGACAUCCUCUAUUGAUGCCGAUGAUUUCGUGAGGUAUCAUAGGACCUUCAACCCCCUUCCUAUCGACUCCAUAUCCUAACUGAUAUUUCUCGUCUUUGGAGGCUAUUAGAGGAGGGAGGAAGCACCUCCUUCGCAUAACAAUGCAAUACAAAUUUAAGCACAAACAUUGCACAUCUUCUUUUGGAUGUAAAAUAAAGUAAAAAGAUAAGGAGAUCACUGAAAAAAAAGAAAGUAAAUAUGAAUAAAUGCAACAGAAAGCGAAGAGUCAUUUAAAAAAUAAAGUAAAUAUAAUUUUUUAGAGAACUGAACUCCCACCUUCCUCAAAUUAAGAGGAUACAUCCGCGUAGGAUUUAGGCAUAAAAAUUCAUGUAUAGGUAUAGAGGUAUAGAUGUAUAGGUGUAGAUAGAUGUCUGGUCCAUCACAUAUCUUUUUUAAAAAAAUGUACAAUUAAUAAAAAUAUUUUUUUAAAAAAUAAUGAUAGGAUAAAUUAUCUUUAUAAGUCAAAUAUAAUUGGUUGGAAGCACAAGAUUACGGUGUAACUUUUACAUUUUAAACUUUUUGAGAACAAGAAAAAGAUUUUCAAUUUAGCCGUCCUAGUCCUAGGCGCUAAUUUAUCUCUCUCCGCACAUUUAAUUUCAACUUCUACUGUCGAAGAAGGGGUCAUUUCCUUGCAAAGUUGCAAUGCGUCUAUCCAGAUUUUCUUGUUUUCAAAGCACAAUUACUUGUGUUUUGUCGUAAUCCAUUGAGAAGUGCGUAUUUCUUUUUUGACAUCCACCGCUUACAAAAGCAAAAGUUAUGCAUAUAUGAACUUUAUUUAAUUUAAAAUACAAAAAAAAUAAUACUUCUGUAUUGUAUACUUCUAGAUUAGCUAGGUAUAAAAUAUACACUAAUCCAUCCAAAAGUUCUAUCUUUUUUCUUUAGUCUUAUCAACUUUUUUUUUUUUUUCUUUAAGUACAUGUUUGGUUAUCCAAAAAUAGUUAAAGUAAAAAAAUUUAUUUUUUUAAAAAUGUUAUUUAGGAAAAUGAUUUUGAGUUCGAUUGUUUGGCUAGCUAUAAAGUGGAGAAAUAGAAGGUUGUAGUUUUGAGUAUUCUAUUCUUCAUUAUAUAUAAAGAAGUGAAACUAUAAACAAACGACUUAUGCUUGUAAUCUGAAUUAAAAAUUUAAAUAUAAAUCUCUAUUUACAAUUCAAAAUUAAAAUUUAAAUUUUAAAUUAAACUUAAAUCUGAGUUGAAUUUAUAUUAAAAAUUUAAAGCAUACAAUUAAAAUUUCAAUUUAAAUUUAAAGUUUAAGUUACAACACAGAACUAAAAUUAAAUUCGAAAAAUCAAAUUUCAACGUAAAAAUUAAAAAAUUCAAAUUUGAAUUCACAAUUUGAAUCAAAAUUUUAAUUUACCAUUUUAUCAUAAUUUUUGAAUUCAAAUAUGAAUUCACAAUUUGAACUAAAAUUUACACUGAAAUUAAAAUUUGAGUUUAAAUCACAAUUCAAAUUGAACAGUUGAAUUCACAAUUUGAAGUCAAAGUUCAAACUGAAAAUCGUUAUCGAACUUAAAUUCAAAAUACAAACUUACCUUUGAAUUUUAAUUUCAAAUUAAAAAUUAAAUUUCGAGUAAAAAUUUCAAUCAAUAAUUCGAAUUUGUAGUUUGGAACAAUUUGAGUUCAAAGUUUAAAUUUAAAUUCCCAGCUAAAAAUAAUUUGACUAAAAUUAAAUUUUAAUUUUAAUUUUAAUUUAAAAUUUGAAAUUAAAAUUUGAAUUUAUAUAAAAAUUUAAAUUUAAAAUUCAUAUUUAAAUAUAAAUUCACAAAUUAUAAUUUAAAAUUUUGGUAUUGAAUUUGAAUUUAUAAAUAAAAUUCAGAAUGUGAAAUUAAAUUUAUAAUUUUAAAUCAAAUUUAUGUUGAAAUUCAUAAGUAAAAUAUAUUCAAAGAUUAAAAUUAAAGACCAUAUAUAACUUUUUAGAUAAGCUCUCCACUUUCCGUGGCUACAAAAUUUUUUGAAUCACAGUCAAAAAAUGAGUUUUAGUUAUAAUCUGAUUUAUUAACUCAGUUUUAUAUAGUGACUAUUAUAUUCACUUUCACAAACCAAAUGAAUAGUGUCAUUUUUAGUGCUUCACUUUCGGCCAAUCAAAUAUAAAUAUUUUUGUGAAUCCUAAAAUGCCACGGAUUAAGAUUUAUAUGUGAGGACUGAGAAUUUGGCUGUUUAGCUAAACUCUCUGUUUAUGAUGUUUUUGCGUGUGUUUUAAUUCCAAAAGCACUCAUCAAGUUUCGGAGAAAAACAAGUUAGAAUGAAAAUUCUACGCGAUCUUUAUUUUUUGCUUAAAGUGAAUACUAACCCGGGUUUUCAAAAAGGCCAAUAAGUAGAGAUAGCUUCUGACGCGUAUCGAACUCCGUUCAUGGUGAUCCAAUAGCUCGUUUUUAAUGGUCCGACUAUCCUGGACCCAAUGGCGCUGACGGAUUUUAGGUUUGACACCGGAUUUUGAGAAACUGGAUAUAUAUAUAUAUAUAUAUAUAGAAUUGAGCUCCUAUGCUUUUAAAAGUACCAAGUCAUUGGUGCUUGUAAGUUUUUAGCCCUUGGAUUAAGGGAUGUGCGGUUAAGAUGAUGUGGGCCCUCUAGGGUUAAGUAGGUGGUUGGUUGAAUAGUAUAAUCUAACGGGUGAAAAUGAUUAAAGGCGUAGAUCUAACGGUAAAAAAUUUACAAGUAUCAAAUACUUGGUACUUUUACAAGCACCAUAGCCNUAUAUAUAUAUAUAGAGUGCGGCUAGUAUGCUUAUGGAAGCACGGAGGCCUCCGUGCUUCCAAGUUGUUUUCGAUGUUUGGACUUUCGAAUCGACGAUCGGCUCCGUUAGACUUGAUCUAGAGUAUUUGAAGUACCUAGAAAAUAAAUUUUGUGAUUUUUCGAUAUCAUUUGCCUAGUGAUCGAAGGGGCUCAAAAUCAAUAAUUUUAACGGCCGUGGUGAGCCGGUUGCAAGUUUAACGGUGUAGAAAUAUACAAAUCACGUGAAAUUUCAAAGCAAACUCAAUCUAGUCGAGCACCUUUUACCGGUGCAGGGUGAAGACUUUGUGGUCUACAGCGACGCAUCCUAUCUAGGGUUGGGGUGUGUUUUGAUGUAGGGCGUGAAGGUAAUCGCUUAUGCGUCCAAUCAGCUGAAAAGCUAUGAGAAAAACUGCCCUAUCCGUGAAUUAGAGCUAGCGGCGGGGAUUUUCACCUUAAAACUGUAGAGGCACUAUUUGUAUAGUGCGCAUUGCGAGAUCUAUACCGACCACAAGAGCUUGAAAUAUUUGUUUACACAGAAAGAGAUUAACAUGCGUCAGCGGCGGUGGUUAGAACUACUAAAGGAUUAUGAUGUCGAUAUCCUUUACCACCCGGGGAAAGCGAAUGUGGUUGCGGAUGCGCUUAGUAGAAAGUCAGCGGAGAACCUCGCUAUGUGGGUUACAAAUCAAACACCCCUAUGGCUGGACAUGGAGCGAAUGAACCUUGAGGUAGUUGCUCCCGAGAUUCCGGCUCAGUUGAUGGCGCUCGUUGUCUAACCGACCUUGUUGGAGAGAAUCAAGAAUCUGCAACCCGCGGACCCAGAACUCCAAAGGGUGCGGCGCGACAUCGAGAAGGGUCGUGUAAUAUACCAGAUUUUGGUAAAAAAAAUAAAAAUAAAUAAAAAAUAGUGUGGGAUACUAUUUUUAUUAGAUUUAGAGAAGUAAAACAUAAGUCAGAAUUGAUUUGUGCUGAGAUCGGAAUGAAAACAGAAGAUUUAGAAUUUUCUGUUGGAAACGAGACAGAUAAAUUAGCAAAAAAUGCACAGUCUCAGAAAAUUAUGAAAAUCGGAGGAUAAGUCAGAAAUAUUUUUAUGAGAUUAGAUUUAAAGUUUCAUAUUUUUCUGACACCCGAAAGUUGAGAAAUAAAAUCCGAAAGUUAUCUGAUAAAGUUUACAGUUCGGUAUAGUUUUCGGUGACCAAACAGGGUCGAAACUGAAAACUUUAAGUAUAUUCUUGUUCAGUACGUUAAACCGAAUAUGACUGUCAAAUUUGAGCUCAAACGGAUACUCUGAGAGUUCCGGCGAAAGAUAUCAGAUUUUAAGUUACCUGGAGUGAAUAGUGUCGGGGUGUAAUUAAUUAAAGAAGCUAAUUAGCUUCUUCUCCUCCAUCAGCCGACCACCAUGGCCGACACACCCACACACACGCACGCAUGGAUGGGGAAGAGAAACUCCCCUUUCUCUCUCUAAAUAUCUCUCUCAUCUCUCUAUAUCUCUCUUUAAAAAUUGGAGGGUUGGUAGAGAUCGAGUCUGCGAACGCGUUGGAGGCGACGGAUCGAGCUUUCGUACGCCCGUUGGAGCGGCGUGUUUUCGUUGCGGCGUUCACAUUGGGGUAAGCUUUUGGGAUUUGGUUUAAUCCUUAGCUUUAAGUGCACUAAUCGCCUCUAAUGAGCAUUGAUAGUAUGUUGUUCCAUUUAAUUGGGAUUAUUUGGAGGUUAAUUCAUGUUAGGGCUCAAAAAUGCUAAUUUUGAAAAUAUGAGGGUUUGAUCUAAUUUGACCCUCCGUAAACCAAAUUGCUAGGUAAACGAACGCGUUGGCGAAGACGGUUCGGCAAUCCGACUAGCCGUUACAAAGUUGUUAAAGAAAUGGACGUUUAGGCUUCGUUACCGCCUGGAGGGCCGAGGCGACGUCGUAAAAUCAUGGAAAUGGAUUUGAAGCACCGUGGCACAUAACCGAAGACCUUUAAUUUUCGGAUCGUGGAUCGGAGGCCGUUCGGGUGGUCGCGCAAAAGAUCGGGCCAAACCGGGUUACGGGUGCCGCGGGAGGCCGAUUGCAAGUGUCGACAAGCAAUCGGAAAGCGUUUUGAGGUGGGUUGUGCUCACCGAAGCGAUUAGGUCGCUUUCCAUGCUAAAGUGUAGUAUGUUUACUAUUGAUGCAUGAUAAAGUAUGCUAUUUAAGAAUGCAUGAUAAAGAUUAAAGUAUGCUAUUUAAGAAUGCAUGAUAAAGAUUAAAGUAUGCUAUUUAAGAAUGCAUGAUAAAGAUAGAUGUCAAGUGAAUGCAUGAGUUGAUGUUAAUUUACAUGAGUAUAUUAUAGAAAUGCUAAACAGAUGUCAAACGUAAGUAUGAGAUUUAUACUAACCGAGAAUGCAUGUGGUAAAUGUUAAUGAAUGCAUAAAAUGCUAAGUGAUGACUACCAAUGGAUGACAAAAUAUCCGCAUAAUGAACAUAGAUCGAGUGGCAUUUGGAAAUGGUAAAGUGGACACUAGAGUUAGUGUGGGACAUCAAAGAAUAAAUGUGGUGUAAAGAACAAUGAUAAUGGCUAGAGGCAAUGUAAAGUAAUGUGGCAUAAAGAAUAAGCAAAGUGUAAAGAAUAAUGAUAAUGGCUAGAGACAAUGUAAAGUAAUGUGGCAUAAAGAACAAGCAAAGUGUAAAGAACAAUGAUAAUGGCUAAAGUUAGCAACCAAUGUGACAUAAAGAACACUAGAGUUAGUGUGUGGCAAUAAAAGAACAAGUGUGGUAUCAAGAAUGAUAAUUACUAAAGUAAUUGAUAAUUGUGGUAUAAAGAAUAAUGAUUGCUAGAGUUAGCAACUAAUGUGAUGUAAAGAACACUAGAGUUAGUGUAAAACCAUGAUCCAACUACAUAUCCUUAGAGUUAAGGAUUGAUCAUACUUGCUAUGAGUUCCGUGCUCGAGGGCGGUCGCUCCCGUCGAGCGAUGCGCUCCGGAGUUUUGCAUCACGGGUUGGAGUAAACCCAAGGACGGUUCUUGCGGGUGAGUUCCUGCGAUGAUGGACUUAAUGUGAAGCAAGUUAAUGUGCCGAAACCUACGGGUUAGCCAAAAAGAAUCAUGAAUUGGAAAGUGAAUCUUGUAUAAAUUAUGAAUUGACUCAAAAUCGAGUCGAAUGGCAUAGUUGGCUAAGGUAAAUGUAACCUUAGGAAAGAGUGAUAAUUGAGAAAGACUUGUUAAUAUUAUAAAGAAUGGCAAAUGUGUAUGAUGAGCCUAAGGCGCGAGUGCCCUUAGUAAAGAAUAAAGAACAAAGAAUAAAGUAUAAAGAAUAAAUCAUAAAGAAUAAAGCAUAAAGAAUAAAAAAUAAAGAAUAAAAAUUAAAGAAUAAAGAAUGGUUAAUGAUAAAGAAUUGCAUAUUCUAAUGAAAUGCUAAUGGUAAAGAAUGACUAAGAGUUGCAUAAUUUGCAUAUUUGUGAGGCAUGAACAUGUAUUGCAUGAUGUUAUAUGUAUAUAUAUCUGUUGGACUAACAUGUUGCAGUGCCUCCUUUGGACCUGGUGGGUUGAGCUUUUCACUUGGGUGGCUGUACCCACUGACGACUAUGGACAAUAGUCUCACCCCCGUGUUGUUGUUUUUGGGGGUACAGGUUCACACGCGAGCGGCGCGGCGGCGCGAGGAAAGGGCGUAGCUCCGUAGUUAGCGCCCUACCACAGAGACCAGAUAGCAGCACCCUGAGUCGGCUUCUUAGGGGUAUAAGAAAAGAAAAGAAAAGAAUCGAUGUUGUAAUAUUAUGUUUAGAAAUCGAUUGUAUAUUUGGAAGUUGAGGAUCAAUGUAAUGAAAAAUGCGAUGUAAAAUGAUGAGAUGAAUGAUUGUAAUAACAUAGGAUGUGUUAUGUUGUUUGAUACCUUCCUUAUGCAAUCGUUGUUGAAAAUUGUUCCUGUUUGGAACCUCUUGUACUUGUAUUGAUUGCGACGCCUUGAACGUACAGGGGAGACUCUGUCUGCGUGCAGGGGAAACCCUGUCCGUUCGGCGGUCUGUUGGCGUGCCCGAAUCCGACCAAAGAGGUGGGCUCGGGGCGUGACAGGUCGUGGCGGCGAUUUCAUGGUAGACGCCGGUGGUGCACUUCGAUUCUGAAAUUGAUGGUGUCUGCCGAACAAUGAGAGAUUCCAAGGCUAAUCUUGCAAGAGGCACAUUGGUCGCCUUAUUGUGAUUACCCGGGCGGCACAAAGAUGUAUCAAGGAUUGAAAAUGCACUAUUGGUGGCCUAGAAUGAAGGGUGAUGUUGGACGCUUCAUGGCGAAAUGCUUAGUAUGCCAACAGGUGAAAGCGGAGCGUCGAUUUCCAGCAAAAAAACUGCAAAGCCUACCAAUCCCUGUUUGGAAAUAGAAAGAUGUGUCAAUGGACUUCGUGGUCGGCUUGCCUCUUUCAACGAGCGGCCACGAUGCAAUUUGGGCAAUUGUGGAUCGUUUGACGAAGUCGGCUCACUUUUCGCUGAUCCACACUACAUGGGCAGGUGACAAAUUGGCGCAGGUUUACCUCGACGAGAUAGUGAGGUUGCACGGGGUGCCGAAGUCGAUCGUGUCGGAUCGCGACCCUUGAUUCACCUCACACUUCUGGAAGAGCCUGCAGGAAGCCUUUGGCACACGGCUCGAUUUCAGCACAGCAUUUCAUCCUCAGACAGAUGGGCAAACAGAAAAGACCAUUCAAACUCUAGAGGAUAUGUUGCGAGCGUCUGUCAUCGACUAUAAGGGAAAUUGGUGUGAUCAUCUGCCGAUGGCCGAGUUCGCCUACAACAAUAGUUACCAUGCUAGUGUAGAGAUGGCACCGUUCGAGGCUCUUUAUGGGCGAAAAUGUCGAUCUCCUAUACACUGGAGUGAUGUGAGUGAACAUGCAGAGUUCGGCCCCGAUGUUUUGCGAGAAGCGGAGGAGAAAGUCCGCCUUGCUCGCAAGAGACUGCUUACGGCGCAGUCAAGACAGAAAAGUUAUGCAGAUAGGCGCCGUCGAGACAUAGAGUUCGCGGUGGGUGACCGCAUGUUUCUGAAGGUUUCACCAAUGCGGCGUGUGAAGCGAUUUGGAGUACGGGGAAAGCUAAGUCCCUGGUACAUUGGACCUUAUGAGAUAUUGGAGCGAGUAGGCACGGUGGCCUAUCGGCUUGCCCUGCCGCCGAAGCUCGCCGAUGUGCAUAAUGUAUUCCACGUCUCCAAUCUUCGCAAGUACAUCCAUGACCCGAAGCACGCGAUGUUAUAUGAACCGCCGGAACUUCAAGAAGACUUGAGCUAUGAAGAGUUUUCGGUGAUGAUUAUCGCCCGAGAAGUGCGAAAACUGCGAAAUCGAGCAAUUCCUUAUGUUAAGAUUCGGUGGAGCAAUCACGAUGAUUGCGAGGCCACCUGGGAACUCGAGGAUCUGAUGAAAAAGCACUAUCCUCAUCUAUUUGAGGGUUGAGGUAGAAGUUUAAGUUUGAGUUGAGAAUUGGAUUAGUUUCAAGGACGAAACUCCUUUUUAGGAAUGGAGGAUGUAAGAAAGUGAAUUCUCGAAAUCCGAGAGUUAUACUUUGUCCAGAAUCGACUAAUUGUCGAGUGGUUAUGCUUCGGAAAAGCUGAAGAUGUCUAAAAUCCAAAAAGUGCAUUGGAGUUGGAGUCUACGAGAGUAAAUAGUGCAAAUCUGCACUUCUGCAGAUUGAGCUCUCGGGGACCGGUCCCUGGUAUGAGGGACCGGUUCUCGUAAGGUGGUGUGCGGCAGAAAACUCUGCGCGCAUAAGUAAUGCUCUCGAGGACCGGGUCCCUGGUAGGAGAGACCGGUCCCCGUAAGCAAUGAGAAGUCCCUGUGGGGACCGGUCUCCCAGUGGAGGACCGGUUCCCGUAAGUGUCCUACGAGAGCAUUACUCUCGGGGACCGGUGCCUGGCGGGAGGGACCGGUCCCCGUGUGUGUAGAAGCUGGCUAGGAGCUCCAGCCUGCAAGAGAAUCUCUCGGGGACCGAUCCUCCCGUAGAGGGACCGGUUCCCGUGCGCGAAAACUGCCCAGGCAGAGCAGUUUGAGAAAGGCAAAGUGGAGGGGCUUGGCUGCAAUUAUGCCAUUAGUAAGGGGUAUAAAGGGCAAAUAACCCUCUCUCCCUCUCUCAUUUCCCCUCCUCACCCAUAUUCUCUCCUUUUCUCUCUCUAGGAAAGAAGAAGGAGAGGAAGAAGAAGAGAAGAAGAAGAAGGAGAAGAAGAAGAAGGAGGAGAACUUGAAAGAGAUCAUCAUCACCAUCUUCUCCUCUUCCUCUUCCUUCCAUUGGAGCUAGCCUAGAGGUGAGCUUCUCAACCCUAAUGGUAGAAACCUAGGGUUUUGGAUUUCUAGCCUUAUAAAUAGGUCAAAUGGACCCUAAGCAUGAUUAAUAGAUGAUUUAUGCUAGAAUCUACAAUUUUGAGGUAGUGGUUUAGCUAUAAGGCAAACCUAGGGCUCCAAAUUAGGGUUUUUGAAAAUUUAUGAGAUUGAUCUCAUUUGAGGGCAUCUAAACCUAAUUGCUAGGUGUCUAAACGCAGGGGCAAAGUCGGAUUUACGAUUCGUCGAGCCGGUGAAAAGAUAUCGGCAAAACAAGGCCGACCGAGCUUAGUUUAGCUUAGUUUCGACCUAGGAGGCCGAGACAUUGUUGUAACGUUCGUUUGGAAGUGUUUCUAGAACCUCUACAUCGACAAAAGGUGGGGGGUGUCAUCCCGAAGCAAUCGAACUCCUUAUUAUGUCUUAGAACAUAUGAAAUUUCAUCUCUUGCAUUUGCAUUGUAGGAUUGCAUUGUAAUACCUUUUCCUUAUGCUUUCUAAAUAAUAACCUAGUGUGAGUUGAAUACUUGAUAAAUUGGAUUGGUAAGGAUUGGGUCGGAACAUUGAAUCCUAUAGUGCUAAAGGAAAGAAAUGAACUCGAUGAUGAUUAGUGAUAUAACGAGUGGCAUAUAAAUGAUAUGUGAACAAAACGAGUAACAUCUAAUGUAGUGUAUUAUGACACUAGUGGUACGUGAACAUAGGGAUAGGUGGAUUCCCUAGUGAAUGACUCGUGAACAAAGAACUUAGUAUAGCUAAGCACUUAUGCAUGAUUGUCGGAAUAGUUGAGUUCCGAGAGAAUUGUUGGCCCUAGUUCGAAAGGGUGUCCUCAAAUGGAGAUGAUAGAUCAAGCUCACGGUCUGUUAUUGGGGUGGUAUAGCCAUCCGAGGUGGUAUAGCCAUCCAUGUCGUCGAGUACUCCGGAGUGUCGGGCGAUCAGGACAGAGUUGAUGUCCGCAGACAAUCCCGGGUUUGAGAGCGAGUUGAGUCUCCUUACCCAACGGAAUGAAGAUGUGAGUCGAGGACGACCCCAAGGGAUUCGCCAUGGAUUGGGUAAAUAAAAGAAAAAACCGUCGUUGAACAUGGUUGUAUUGGACAUAGUAGCAUGAUAGUAAACCUUUACUAAAUGAUGCAAGCAUUCAAAUCUCUGAUUAUGGGCAUAGUAGCAUAGCUUUCCUAUUAUGUCAUUUACUGUUUUAGAUAUAUAUCUAUCUAUCUAUCUGUUGUUACUUUGCCUACUUGGACCUAAUGGGGAGAUCGGCAGAGUCGGCGGCCGAGCCCACUGGGAACUAUGGAAGAUAGUUCUCACCCCACUUCAUCACAAGGUCGAGUGCAGGCGCGCUGGGCGAGGAUCGCGGCAAGGGCAUCGCGCCCGAGCAGUAGUUACAUUUCUAGCUUUCCUAUGCAUUAGAGUACCCUUUUGCAUCUAGAUGCUUUAUAUUUUGGAAGAGCUAAGUGUGUAUUUGGAAAUGACCAUGUAUUCAUUUUGGGAAAAUAUGUAAAUGUAAUUGAAAGAGUGCUAUGUAAUGUAAUAGCUAGUAGAUCUCUCUUUAUUUCACUUGUAUUACUUGUGGAUUACUUGUUCUUUUUGUUGGCACCGGUUGUGCCCGUUGAUUGUGUAUGUAUUGAAUUUAAUAUCCUGGGUGAAUUCUUGUACACAAUCUUGUUGUUAAGCCUUGGUCGGACAUGGGAGGUACUGUCCGUCCGGCGUCUGUUCGACGUGCCUGAACCAGACCAAAUUGGUUGCCGUCCCGGGGUGUGACAGAAGCAAAUGGUAUCAGAGCAAGUUAAGAACAAGUAAAGAGAGAGUCUAGGAUUGACCUAGGAGACCUUAGGUUGGAAAACCGAAGUUCGUGAUGGGUCCUACAUAUGAAAUUUCAUAUGAAAUUUCAGAUUUGCUAGGUUGGAAAACCUAGCAAAUGGUAUCAGAUUUGCAACACCUUGCUCCCCUUAGGUCCUACAUACCUCUAUAAGCCAUCCCAACGCAUUCGGACUUUUCUGAAGCGUCCCGAAGCGAACAACUCCGCACUUUGGUCAAUUCCAACUGAAGUUCGGAUUCGCACAUCGAGGAUCCAAUACCUUACAUCCUCCCCUCCUUAAAAAGAGUUUCGUCCGCGAAACAUAAUGCACUUAAACUUAAGCACAUACCUCAAUCCAAAUCUUCGAAAAGAUGAGGAUGAUACUUUCUCAUCGCGUCCUCGAGCUCCCAAGUAGCUUUCCGAUCAUCGUGAUUGCUCCAUUGGACUUUAACAUACGGAAUCUCACGGUUCCGUAGCUUCCUCACCUCAUAAGCAAUGAUGAACACCGGGAAUUCCUCAUAAGUCAUAUCCUCUUGAAGCUUGGGCGGUUCAAACGAGAGAAUAUGCUUAGUAUCGUGAACAUACUUGUGGAGAUUCGAAAUGUGGAAGACGUUAUGAACUCCCACAGGCUUGGGCGGCAAUGUAAGUCGAUAAGCCACCACACCAAUCCGUUCCAAUAUCUCAUACUGUCCGAUAUAACGGGGACUUAGCUUUCCCCGAACCCCAAACUGCUUCACACCCCUCAUGGGCGAAACCUUCAAGAAGACGCGGUCUCCAACUACGAACUCAAGAUCCUGGCGGCGCUUCUUCGCAUAACUCUUUUGCUUAGUCUGCGCCGUCAAUAACCGUUGUCGAGCAAGGCGGACUUUCUCCUCCGCCUCUCGCAAUACAUCGGGGCCCAAAACCACCUGUUCGCCCACCUCGCUCCAAUGUAUAGGAGACCGGCAUUUCCUCCCGUAGGGAGCUCCAAACGGCGCUAUCUCUAUACUAGCUUGAUAACUAUUGUUGUAGGCGAACUCGGCCAUUGCUAAGUGCUCAUGCUACCCGCCCCGAUAAUCAAUGACAUACACUCGCAACAUAUCCUUCAAUACUUGGAUUGUUCUCUCUGAUUGUCCGUCGGUUUGAGGAUGAAACGCGGUGCUAAAAUCGAGCCGUGUGCCAAGUGCUUCUUGCAAGCUUUUCCAAAAGUGUGAUGUGAACCGGGGGGUCUCGAUCCGACACGAUUGACUUCGAAACCCCGUGAAACCUCACCACUCCAUCAAGAUACACUUGCGCUAGCUUGCCUCCAGACCAUAUAGUAUGGAUCGGUAGAAAGUGCGCCGACUUCGUCAAGCGAUUCACCACUACCCAAAUCGCAUCGUGGCCACCAGACGACUGGGGCAAACUGACCACGAAAUUCAUAGUUAUUAUGUCCUCCCAUUUCCAAACGGGAAUCGGCAAACUUUGAAGUUUCCCCACUGAAAAUCGGCGCUCCGCCUUGACCUGUUGACACACAAGGCAUUGCGCCACAUAGUGUCCAAUAUCCCUUUUUAUCCCCGGCCACCAAUAGUGCAUUCUCAAAUCUUCAUACAUUUUGGUGCCGCCCGGAUGGACACUAUAGGGAGACCGAUGAGCCUCUCGCAAAAUCAUCUUCCGGAUUUCCUCGUUUUCUGGCACACUAUCGGUUCCGAUACCGAAGCGCUCCAUCGGUGCCAAUGCUGAAAUCACCAAUACGCCCACCCUCGAUGUCGCGCCGCACCUUUUGGAGACUUGUAUCCGCAGAUUGCAAGUCCUUAAUCCGCUCCAACAAGGUCGGUUGGACGACUAAGUGCCAUAAGCAUAACCGGAAUCUCCGGUGCCACGACCUCAAGAUCCAGUCGUCGCAUUUCUUGCCACAGCGGCUCCUGAUGCAUGAUCAUCAUCGUGAGGUUCUCCACUGAUUUUCUGCUAAGCGCAUCCGCCACCACAUUGGCUUUCCCCGGGUGGUAAAGGAUUGAAACAUCAUAGUCCUUUAACAGUUCCAACCACCUGCGCUGUCGCAUGUUCAGUUCUUUCUGAGUAAACAAAUACUUCAAACUUUUGUGGUCCGUAUAUAACUCGCAACGCGCUCCAUAGAGAUAGUGUCUCCACAACUUAAGUGCGAAGACCGCCGCUGCCAACUCCAGGUCAUGAAUGGGAUAGUUUUUCUCGUAGCCUUUCAACUGGCGGGAUGCAUAAGCAAUCAUUUUCCCGCACUACAUCAGAACACACCCCAGACCCUGGUAGGACGCGUCACUAUAAACCACAAAGUCUUCUCCUUGUACCAGUAGGGUGAGUAUCGGAGUCGACGUCAACCUUUCUUUCAACUCCUUGAAGCAUCGGUCGGACUCGUCACCCCACACAAACUUAGUGCCCUUCUGAGUGAGACGGGUAAGCGGAACAACGAUCUUCGAGAAUCUCUCCACAAACCGCCUAUAGUAGCCCGCCAAACCGACAAAACUACGAACUUCCGACACAUUCGUCAGACGAGGCCAAUCCUUGAUCGCCUUCACUGUCCUCUGGUCAACCGACACACCACCCUUGGAAAUGACAUGUCCCAAGAAGGCAACUUCACGAUGCCAGAAGUCGCACUUCUUCAACUUUGCAUAUAAAUUUUCCUUCCGUAGGACUUGUAGCACAAUUCUCAAAUGUUCCGCGUGCUUCUCAUUGCUACGAGAAUAGACCAAGAUGUCGCCUAUGAAUACCACGACAAAUUGAUCCAAGUAAGCCCUGAAACAUGGUUCAUCAAAUCCAUGAAUGCUGUCGGGGCAUUUGUAAGCCCAAAAGGCAUAACUGUGAACUCGUAGUGCCUGUACCGUGUCCGAAACGCGGUCUUAUGCACAUCUUUCAGCUUGAUCUUCAACUAAUGAUAGCCCGACUGAAGAUCAAUCUUCGAGUAAACCCGCGACCCUUGCAACUGAUCAAACAAGCCAUCGAUAUGAGGCAAUGGGUACUUGUUCUUAAUCGUGACUUUGUUAAGCUCACGAUAGUCCACACAAAGACGGAACGAUCCGUCCUUUUUCUUCACAAACAGCACCGGGGCUCCCCAAGGUAAUACACUCUGCUUCACAAACUCCUUGUCGAGUAGAUCUUGCAAUUGAGCCCUCAACUCCUUUAACUCGGCCAGCGCCAUUCGAUACGGAGCCUUCAAAAUUGGCGUCGUCCCGAGAACUAAGUCGAUUACAAACUCAAUCUCCCGGUCCAGUGGCAAUCCCGGUAACUCCACAGGAAACACAUCCGAAAACUCCCUGACCACUAAGAUAUCCUCAAGCGCCAGAGUCUCCCUAUUAAGCUCCACAACGGUCGCCAAAUAAGCCGCGCAACCGCUGCUAACCAGUUUCCUUGCCCUCGACGCCGACACCGUCGUGACGAAGAGCGAACUCUUGCAAGCACAGUAAGUGAACUCUUCUUGUCCGGGCUCAAGGAAAGUUAUAAUCCGGCUCUUACAGUAGAUAGUUGUAUAGUACUUCGAGAGCCAAUCCAUGCCCAACACUAGAUCGAAGUCCUUUAGCCGCUUAAGCACUAGUAGUCGCAUCGGCAUAAUCCAGUCGCCUACUUGCACCGGACACGCCAAACAUUCCUUUCUCAUGACAAAUGGAUGCUCGGGGGCUUCCACCCGCCAAGUACUCUUACUCAUGUCACGCCCCGAGCCCGGCCUAUUUGGUCGGUUCGGACAAGUCAAACAGACGCCGAACGGACAGCACCUCCCCUGUCCGCCCAAGGCUCAACACAUGUACAAUUCAAGCAAAGAGAAUUUGCACAAGCGGAAACAUACAUAAUGACUUGCACGAGGGCAAGCAAUAGCCAAAGUGAAAGAAUUCUAAACUAAUUAACCAUACAAGUAUAAUGAUUACAUUUGAUUACAUACUACAAGUAUAAUGAUUACAUUUGAUCACAUACUUUGCAUUCACAUUUGUAUAUUUACUUUUACAUUCUUUUCAUCAUCUCUUUUUACAUCAUAACUUCUCCCAAAAUGGAUUUCUUACAUUCAAAUUUAACUCUCUUUAUACAAUUGCAUCUUCAAAGACAAAAGAAGAUACAUAUAUCCAUAAGGGUAUACAACUAUACAAGUAAUAAAACCGACUCGGAUGGUCACUGUCUACGGCGCGAUACCCUUACAGCGAUCGUCCGCCGGCUCGCUCGGUCCCGGCCCUGAGGAAAUAGUGGGGUGAGAACUACAACAAAGUUCCCAGUGGGUUCGGCCACCAACCUCGCCGACUUUUCUACUAGGUCUAAAUCAUGCAUAAUAAAAGAAAGCAGAUAGAUAGUAACAAAGCUAUACAAUGCAACUAAUAUGCCUGAACAAAUAAAAUCAAUAUAAUGCUCAAAUAAAAUGCUCAUGAUGAAUGCAAGAUCUCAAUUCACUUACCCAAUCUCUUGGCUAAUCCGUGGGUUUGCCUACAACUCACCAACUCAUAAUCCCAAAUAUCGGGGAGACUACUACGACCCGACGGGACCGUCCUCUGAGGAGACUACUACCACCCAGUGAUGACUACUCCGGAGUUCAUCGCUUGAGGGGGCGCGACCGCCCUCAAGCCAAGACGUAUAGGCGAGUAUGAUCCAAUCCUUAACUAUAAUGAUUUCCAAGUUCAAUCAAACCUUAACUAUAAGGUUGCAAUAUUCAUAUGACCCUUAACUAUAAGGUUGUUAUGUCAUAAUGUCAACUUGCAUAUAUACUUGCAUCCUCUAAUUCCAGUAGUGUCAUUUACACUACAUAUUCUUGUACUCAAUCUCUAGCAUUUAAUACUCAACAAUGCCACACACUAACUCUAGUAUUUGAUGCUCUAGCAUUCCAUAUACAUUCAUUAGUGCCACACUUGUACACUAGAAAUUCUUUACUCUUUAAUGCCACUCAACUAAAAGUUCAACUCUAGCAUUUAUUAUAUUUACUAAUACCACUCGAUUCACAUGUCAUAGUGUCACAAUGUUCUAUACCUCUGCUAGGUUUUUUAUCACCAAUCAAGCAUACAUAGGGUUCAUAGGUUCUCAACCACCUCAUAAUGCAUUUGUACUCACAACGUGCAAUAACUCAUGUAAACACAAUCUCAAUCACCCUACAAUGCAUGAAACCCUUAUAUAUGCUCAAUAAGUGACACUUUAGACAUAAAAGGAAAUUCAAUGAGUUUGGAGAGCACCACCCACCUCGUAGGCUUGCUAAGGUGCUAGGGUUCGAGUUUCAUGAUUUUUGGCCGCCUAUUUCGCGUGCUGCGGCAAUCUGUACCAAAACCGACCUUUUGGUCAAUUUCUUGGCGUACACUCGUCGGAUCACCGAACCGAACGCACCAACGCAUUGGAAAUACCCAUAAUUAGGUUUGUAUAGGGUCAAUUGGCUUUCAGAAUCAACCAAUGCAAAAGCCCUAAUUUGGGUGCCCUAGCAUCAUCACAUUUACAUAUACCCCAUUUUGAUCGCUACCAUAAGCAAGAAUAAGCUUUUUAUCAUCCAGAGGUUCCAUUAAAACCACUCCUAGGUCAAUCAAAACCCAUCUUAGGGUUCUACCAUGAGAAGGGGUUGAAUCUUACCUCUAAAAGCUUCCUUUCCUCAAGCUAAAGGAGAAGAUGAAGGAGUUGCCUCACUCCGUGGCCUCCUUCUACCAAAUCCUCCUCCUAGCUUCACCUCUUGAGAGAGAGAGAGAGAGAGAUCCUAGAGAGAGAGAGAGAGUCUUGAGUGUAAGGUGAGGGAGAAAUGAGAGAAAGCCCUCGUACCCUCACAUACAUACCCCACACAUUGCAUAAAUUCAUUUAGACCCCUCAACUUUCACCAUACAACACUGCCCAGACUAGGCAAUUUACGCUUGCGGGGACCAGUCUCUCUAGCAGGGACCGGUCCUCGAGAGCGUCCUGUGCGCAGAGCAGCCUUCUGCUCAAUUUCACGCGUACGGGGACCAGUCCUCCCCUGAGGGACCGGACCUUUAGGGACCGGUCUCUCUAGCAGGGACCGAUCCCCGAGAGCACAAAAACUGCAGUUUGCAGAUUUUCACUCUCAUUGCUCUCGAAGACCUCCAACAAUGCACUUAAGCCUCUUUUGACGCCUUCGGCCUUUCCGAAGAGUCCCAACCUCGCACUUUGGUCAUUUUGACUAGAGUUCGAUAGUCUUUACCGAAGUUUCAGUAUAUUACAUUCUCCACCCCUUAAAAUAGUUUUGUCUGCAAAACUAAAUGCAUAUCUUAGCUCGUUGACUCAAAUAGAUGAGGAUACAUCCUCCGCAUAGUCUCUUCAAGCUCCCAAGUGGCUUCACGCACCGCAUGAUUGCUCCACUGGACCUUUACAUACGAAAUUGUGCGACUCUGCAACUUUCUUUCUUCUCUAUUGAGGACGCACAUUUUCACUCUCAUUGCUCUCGAAGACCGCCUACAAUGCACUUAAGCCUCUUUUGACGCCUUCGGCCUUUCCGAAGCGUCCCAACCUCGCACUUUGGUCAUUUUGACUAGAGUUCGAUAAUCUUUACCGAAGUUUCGGUAUAUUAUAUUCUCCACCCCUUAAAAUAGUUUCGUCCGCGAAACUAAAUGCAUAUCUUAGCUCGUUGACUCAAAUAGAUGAGGAUACAUCCUCCGUAUAGUCUCUUCAAGCUCCCAAGUGGCUUCACGCACCGCAUGAUUGCUCUACUGGACCUUUACAUACAAAAUUGUGCGACUCUGCAACUUUCUUUCUUCUCUAUUGAGGACGCACACCGGGUACUCCUCAUACGUCAUAUCCUCGCGUAAUUCCACGGGUUCGUAUUCUAAUACAUGUGACGAAUUGCGGAUAUACUUUCGGAGAUUCGACACAUGAAACACAUUGUGAACUCCCGCAAGUCUCGGUGGUAGUGCGAGCUUAUAAGCCACCGCACCCACACGCUCUAAUAUCUCGAAUGGUCAGACAUACCGGGGACUCAACUUCCCACGGACACCAAAUCGCUUUAUUCCUCGCAUAGGCGAUAUUUUCAAAAACACGCGGUCUCCAACCGCGAACUCUAAAUCCUUUCUUCGCUUAUCUGCAUAGCUCUUUUGCCGGGAUUGCGCCGUCGCUAGCUGUUGACGGGCAAGGCGAACCUUCUCUUCCGCCUCCCGUAACACAUCGGGACCAAGAGUAACUCUUUCGCCCAUCUCGCUCCAAUGGGUAGGAGAACGACACUUCUUUCCAUACAAAGCCUCAAAUGGCGCCAUCGUGAUGCUUUCUUGAUAACUGUUAUUAUACGCGAACUCCGCCAUUGGCAAGAAAUCAUACCAUCCACCCUUAUAAUCGAGUACACACGCUCGAAGCAAGUCCUUAAGGAUUUGUAUCGUCCUUUCCGAUUGACCAUCACUCUGAGGAUGAAAUACCGUGCUAAAGUCGAGCCGUGUGCCCAGAGCGUCUUGCAAGCUCUUCCAAAAGUGAGACGUGAACCUAGGGUCUCGAUCCGAUACAAUUGACACUGGAACCCCAUGCAGUCUCACAAUCUCGUCAAGAUACACUUGAGCCAACUUGUCUCCCGACCACGUGGUGUGAAUUGGCAAGAAGUGUCCCGAUUUCGUUAAUCGAUCCACUAUCACCCAUAUCGCAUCGUGUCCGCCUUGCGAUCGAGGCAAACCGGUAACGAAGUCCAUUGCGAUAUCUUCCCAUUUCCAAACGGGUAUUGAUAGACUUUGCAAUUUUCCCGCUGAAACCGGCGCUCCGCUUUCACUUGUUGGCACGUAAGACAUUGCGCCACGAACUCCCCAACAUCCUUCUUCAUGCCCGGCCACCAAUAAUGCGCUUUCAAGUCUUGAUAUAUUUUGGUGCCACCACGGUGUAUACUAUAGGGAGAUUGAUGCGCUUCUUGCAUAAUCGUCCUUCGAAUGUCCUCAUUUUUAGGCACACACGAAUGAUUUCUGAAUCGAAGUGCGCCACCAGUCCCAAUGCUGAAAUCUUCAGCAUUAUUAUUCUCAACUUCGUCGCACACAUUUUGGAGAUACACAUCGGAAGCUUGUAGCUCUUUUAUCCUCUCCAACAAGGUUGGUUGCACAACCAAUGCGGCAAGUGUAGCCGGCACUCCCGGAGCUACUACUUCUAAACCAAGCCGUUGCAUCUCUUUCUGCAAAUACAGUUGGGGUGUAAUUGUCGAAGCCAAAUUUUUCACCGAUUUUCUCCUAAGUGCAUCGGCCACGGUGUUUUCUUUUCCGAGAUGGUAUAGAAUGGUGACAUCAUAGUCCUUUAGCAAUUCUAACCACCACCGUUGUCGCAUAUUCAACUCCUUUUGGGUGAAUAAGUAUUUGAGACUUUUAUGAUCCGUAUAAAUCUCGCAAUGCUCACCAUACAGAUAAUGCCUCCACAACUUUAGCGCGAAUAUCACCGUGGCUAGCUCAAGGUCAUGUAUCGGGUAAUUCUUCUCGUAACUCUUCAAUUGGCGAGAAGCGGCCAUUUUGCAUCAAAACACACCCGAGACCCCUGUAUGAAGCAUCACUGUACACAAUAAAAUUCUCCCCCAGAGUCGACAAGGCAAGCACCGGGGUCGACGUCAACUUUUCUUUUAACUCCUCGAAGCUCUGAUCGCAAUCGUCGCUCCAUACAUAUCUUACUCCCUUGUACAUGAGGCGCGUUAGUGGAGUUGUUAUCCUAGCGAACCUCUCCACGAACCGCCGAUAGUACCCCGCGAGUCCAAGAAAACUGCGGACUUUUGUUACACUUGUCGGGCGAGGCCAAUCCUUAAUUGCCUCAACUUUCUUCGGGCCAACUGAGACCCCGCCUCCGGAUAUCACAUGGUCUAGGAAGGUAACCUCCGACAGCCAAAAAUCGCACUUCUUGAGCUUAGCAUAAAGCUUCUCUUUCCGGAGUAUUUGUAACACGGUUCCCAAAUGCUCCUAGUGUUCCUUCUCACUCUUCGAAUACACCAACACGUCGUCUAUGAAUACCACGACGCACCGGUCCAACAAUGAUCGAAAGACUCGAUUCAUCAAGUUCAUAAACGCUGCCGAGGCAUUAGUAAGCCCAAACGGUAUUACCGUAAACUCAUAGUGGCCAUACCACAUACGGUAGGCCGUUUUAUGCACAUCCUUCGGCCGGAUCUUCAACUAAUGAUAUCUCGACUGAAGAUCAAUCAUCAAGUACACCCUUGACCUUUGCAGUUGAUCGAACAAAUUAUCAAUCCUCGGCAAUGGGUACUUGUUCUUAAUUGUCACUUUGUUCAACUCACGAUAAUCGACGCAGAGUCAAAGUGUACCAUCCUUUUUUUUCACAAAUGGCACCAGAGCUCCCCGCGGUGACACGCUCGGCCUCACGAAGCCUUUAUUGAGCAAGUCUUAUAAUUGUGCCUUUAACUAUACUAACUCCGCCGGUGCCAUUCUAUACAGAGCCUUCGAGAUUGGCGCCGCCCCGGGAAUCAAAUCAAUGACGAAUUCGACCUCCCGGUCCGGUGGCAAUCCCGGUAACUCCGCCGGAAAUACAUCCGAAAAUUCACAUACUACCCGAAUGUUCCCAAGUUCCGGGUGCUCCAUUUGAGUCUCUACCAUGGUCGCCAAAUAGGCCACGUAUCCACCUUUAAUCAACUUUCUUGCCCUCGCCGUCGACACUGUCGCCGCGAAGCGCGAGCUUUUACAGGCCCGAUACACUAACUCUUCUUGGUUAGGUUCAUGAAAGGUGAUUACCUUACUUUCACAAUCUAUAACCGCGUAGUACUUGGAGAGCCAAUUGAUCCCCAAGAUCACAUCGAAGUCCCACAUUCUAUCUAACAUUAGUAGAUCUAUCGACAUAAUCCAAUCACCUAUCUGAACUGGACAAGCCAAGCACUCGUUAUGAACACUGAACGAAUGCUCUGGAGCAUUCACCCACCAAUUAUACUCGUUAUGAGACACCUCUAUUCCAUGAGUUUUCGCAAAUGAUGCACCAAUGAAUGAAUGAGAUGCACCAGUGUCGAAUAGUGUUCUAGCUCUAGUGCCCUUGAUCAAGAUAAUAUCUGCCACGACGUCAUCAGGGACUGUAGGCUGCUCCUCCACUUGAGUGGUGAAAACCCGGCCACUAGGCGCUCGCGAUCCCUCCGGCUGACACGGUGAUGAUGCACGUCCAGCUGACAUUGCUGGUGGCAACCCGGCAAACUGUCUCAGGGAAGACGGAACUAAUGCCGCCGUCGGUGCAGACGAUGUCCAUCCCAGGCACUCCCGGAUAAGAUGUCCCGGUCGGCCACACUUGAAGUACUUUCCUUCACGUUGCGGGCAAGUCGACAGUCGAUGCUCAUCGCCGCAAAUGACACACCGAGGAGGCCUCCAACUCCUCGACUGCUAUCGGGGAUACCGAGGGGGUUUCUUAGCAUUUGGCCAGCCCCCGGCACCACCCGCUAUUCACUUCUUCCCUUUAUCCCUUUCCUUACCCAUUGACUCGCGCUCUCCACGCGCAUAUGCACUACCGUGCUCCGCCCAACGUGCUCGAUCCAAGACCUCGGCAAAAGUCGUGAGUUUAAAGAUUUGCAACUUCUCAUAGAACCUCGGCUGAAGCCCUCGCAAGAACCAAUCAGCCCGAUCCCGAUCAUCACGAACAACAUCAGGGACACAAUCGAUGAUGUGAGAGAACUCUUGCUCAUAUUCCCCCACCGAUCGAUCACCUUGCCUUAGCUUGCGGAACUUCUCUUGCAACUUCGACUUUUCCGUGUUGGGAAAAUAGUUCGCGAACAUUAACCUUCGGAACUCCUCCCAAAGCAUAGGUGGAAGAUCGGAAGACUGAUCUCGUUUUACUCACUUCCACCACACCUUCGCUGCCUUUCCCAAGCAAUGAGUGGCGAGGUUCACCUCAUCCUUCUCCAAGGCAUACAUGUCCUCAAAGAGCGUCUCGAUUGAGUCGAUCCACGACUCCACUAUCCAUGGCUCCACCUUAUCCCCCUCAAAAACAGGUGGGUUGAACUUCAUAAACAUGACGAGAGCCGCCAACGCGCGCUUCCGCUCUGCCUUCGCCGCCGCACUAUCGGGAUUUGAGGUUCCCCAACCGGCCGGCACCACCGUGACUGGGACCACCGCCGCCGCGACAUCGUCAGCCGCACUCGACACCACCGUAGGGGGCACAGGGUGCUCGGCGCCCGCUUGAGCCGCCGUUGCCUGUUGUUGCUCUAAGGCUUCCUGAAGCCUUUGCAUCUGCUCCCCCUGACGCUGAAUAGACUCCGCUUGUUGUCGCACUACCCCAAUUAGUGCGGACAUUUUCUCCCGAAGCUCUCCGUCGCCACUUGCUCCGGAUCGCUCGGGCGUCGCAUUCGGCUCCUCCGGCAUCAACCUUGUUUGAGGUCCACCUCGAGCCAUUACUUCCUGAAAUGUAGCAAUUUUCGUCAGCUACACGCUUACAUAACUCAUACACACCCAAUCCGGUGAAAGCAAAUAAGUGCAUUCAUUCUCAUUCCAAAGCAUUGCAUUGUCAGCUGCCCAACACAACACGUGGAGUAGAGAACAAACUUCAUCUUAGAUUAGCCCCUAACCGCAUUAGAGACAUACUAACAUUAACCCAAUCACAUGCUUCCACUAACUUGAUUCCACGCCAUUCACAUUUUCUAGAUCCUUAAGGUUUUCCAAUCCUAAGGGUCUCUAGGUCCAUUCCUAUUCUUUCACUUUUAGGCUCUGAUACCACUAUAUCUGUCAUGCCCCGAGCCCGGCCUAUUUGGUCGGUUCGGACACGUCGAACAAACGCCGAAAGGACAGCACUUUUCCUGUCUGCCCAAGGCUCAACACAUGUAUAAUUCAAACAAAGAGAAUUUGCACAUGCGGAAACAUACAUAAUGGCUUGCACGAGGGCAAGCAAUAGCCAAAGUGCAAGAAUUCUAAACUAAUUAACCAUACAAGGAUAAUGAUUACAUUUGAUCACAUACUUUGCAUUCACAUUUGUAUAUUUACCUUUACAUUCUUUUCAUCAUCACUUUUUACAUCACAAGUUCUCCCAAAAUGGAUUUCUUAUAUUCAAAUUUAACUCUCUUUAUACAAUUGCAUCUUCAAAGACAAAAGAAGAUAUAUAUAUCCAUAAAGGUAUGCAACUAUACAAGUAAUAAAACCGACUCGGGCGGUCACUGUCUACGACGCGAUACCCUUACUGCGAUCGUCCGUCGGCUCGCUCGGUCUUGGCCCUGAGGAAAUAGUGGGGUGAGAACCACAACAAAGUUUCCAGUGGGUUCGGCCACUAACCUCGCCGACUUUCCCACUAGGUCUAAAUCAGGCAUAAUAGAAGAAAGCAGAUAGAUAGUAACAAAGCUAUACAAUGCAGCUAAUAUGCCUGAACAAAUAUAAUCAAUAUCAUGCUCAAAUAAAAUGGUCAUGAUGAAUACAAGAUCUCAAUUCACUUACCCAAUCUCUUAGCUAACUCGUGGGUUGGCCUACAACUCACCAACUCAUAAUCCCAAAUAUCAGGGAGACUACGACGACCCGACGCAACAGUCCUCUGGAGACUACUACGACCCAGUGAUGACUACUCCGGAGCUCAUCGCUUGAGGAGGCGCGACCGCCCUCAAGCCAAGAUAUAUAGGCGAGGAUGAUCUAAUCCUUAACUAUAAGGAUUUCCAAGUUCAAUCAAACCUUAACUAUAAGGUUGCUGUCACGCCCCGAACCCGCCUCUUUGGUCGGAUUCGGGCACGCAAACAGACCGCCGAACGGUCAGGGUUUUCCCUGUACCGCGGCCAGAGUCUCCCCUGUACGUCCAAGGUGUCACAAUCUAUACAAAGCGUGAGGUUCCAACCAGGAACAGUAUUCAAACAAGGAUUGCAUAAGGAAGUAUCAAAACAUAAAUAUAACUAUGCUAUUACAAGCAUUCAUCUCAAAUUUUUUUACAUAUUACAUGCAUCUUACAUUUUCUUCCAAAUACAAUCGAAAUUAUUAUUACAAUCUUAUUCUUUUCAUUUCCUUACAUCCCUAAGUAGCCGACUUAGGGUACCGCUAUCUCUGGUCUCGGUGGUAGGGCGCUAACUACGGAGUUAUGCCCUCGCCUCACGCCGCCGCGCCGCUCACGUGUGAACUUAUACCCCCAAAAACAACACGGGGGUGAGAACUAUUGUCCAUAGUUCCCAGUGGGUACGGCCACCUAAGGGAAAAGCUCAACCCACUCGGUCCAAAGGAGGCACUGCAAACAUGUUAGUCCAACAGAUAUCCACAAAUAAUAUUUAUACAAAUAUUAAAUACAUGUUUAUGCCUCAAGACAUGCAAUAUGCAAAUGUAAAUCAUGCAAUCAACCAAGUAGAUCAUCCGAUACUACUCUCUAUCUCGCUAUCCAUAACUUUUUCAUAAUUUAUACAUCUUGUCAUAUUACAUCAUUCAUUAUUUGCUCCUAAGGUUUUCCUCUACCUUAGCCAAGUUAACCACCCGACUCGGCCUCGAGUCAAUCAUCUGCGGAAUACCGCAUACAACCAGGCUCGAGGUGAUGGACAUCUCACAUACACCUCAGCCUUAAAUCCACUCGUUAGGGAUACCAAAUCCAUAACUCAUAAUGCAUGCUUUUUCACUUUCAUUUUGGCUUUUACCAAAUUAACCCGGUUAACACUUAUUAACCCCAAAACUCAAAACCCAAAAUCCCUUAAUAACGGGGGACUCGAACCAUCCUAGGGACCGUCUACUGGACAAGUACGUUAGUCCAUGGGCAAAUACGUUAGCCCAUCGUGUGACAACUCCGGAGUGCACUGUUUGGGUGGAGCGACCACCACCAAGCUAAAAACAGACUAUGUGAGUAUGAUCCAAUCCUCUAGCCCGAGGAUACCCUACCAACUAGUAAAACCAAUCCCAAACCUCAUGUACUGAGUAAUCACAUUGUCUCUAGCUAAUGCCACAAUGUCUCUAAGUUCUCAUUGUUAUGUCAAAUGCCACAAUGUCUCUAAGUUCUCAUUGUUAUGUCAAAUGCCAUAAGUGUUUCCAAUACACUAAUCAUAUGGCACUCGAUCUAUUUGACAUCCUAAUUGUCCACAUCAAGUAUCAUAGUUCAUAUGCCAUUGUUUUCCAAUAUCGAGUUCUCUAAUUCACCUAGAGUUUAUCGACCCAAGUUCAACAUGCAAAUGUCAAUUAACAUAAUCCUCUAUACGUCAACAUAUAUAGUUCAUCUAUCAUAUGCAAUAUGUCAUCAUGUAUAUAUUUUCAUUUAACAUAAUCCACAAUAUGUUAAUUCACAAUAUGUCAUCAUGCACAUAUACCAACUAGCAUCUCAUGAUAUGUCAACACACAUAUAUACAUCAUCUAGCAUAAUCCAAACUAUGCCAACAUGCCUUUCUAUAGUAUCACUUUCAUGCAUUCAUAUAACCUCUAUGACAUGCAUUCAUAUAACAUUUCAUGCAUUCUUAUAGUAUCAUUUUCAUGCAUUCAUAUAACCUCUAUGACAUGCAUUCAUAUAGCAUUUCAUGCAUUCUUAUAGUAUCAUUUUCAUGCAUUCACUUAGCAUAUUUCUUAUGCAUUUACCAUUCUUCAACUUGCUACCAUUAUAUGCAUCAACAAUAAACAACGCUCCAGUUCGACAUGGAAGUGAGCUAAUAUCUUCGGUGAGCACAACCCACCUCAAAUCGCUUUUCGAUUGCUUGUAGUCACUUGCAAUCGGCCUCCCGCGGCACCCGCGAUCCUGUUCGGCCCGAACUUGCGCCCGACCACCCAAACAGCCAUCAAUCCACGAUCCGGAAAUUGAAGGUCUAUAACUUGAUGCCACGAUGCUCCGGAUCCGUUUUCGUGAAUUUUGGACGUCGCCUCGGCCCUCCAGGUGGAAACGAAGACGAAAUGUCCGUUUCUUCAAUAUCUUCGCAUAGACUCGACAAAUCACCGAACCGACUUCGCCAACGCGUUCAUAUACCUAGCAAUUAGGUUUACAUAGGGUUAAUUUAGAUCAAACCCAAACAUUUUACAAAAACCCCAUUUUGAACCUUAACAUGCUACUAUUGCAAUAAACCUUCAAAUUGAUUCAUGAUUCAAGCAAAUAGCAUGUUGUUAUCACCUAGGGAGUCCUCUAAACCCAUUCCUAGAGCAUAUAAAUAAAGCUCUAAAGAUCUACCAUGAGAGGGGCUCAAGAAGCUCACCUCAAAGCUUGCUCUAAACCAAGGAGAAAAUGAAGAAGAUGAAGAUGAUUCACUUCUAAGCUUCAAUCUCCACCAAAUCCUUCAAUUUUGGGAGAGAUCUAGAGAGAGAAAGGGAGGUCUCUCUCUCCCUCCAUGUAUGCGUGUGUGUGUGUGUGUGGUGUUGUGGCUGCACGGUUGAGGGAGAAGAAGCAAAUGCUUCUUAUACAAUUAACACCCUCACAAUACACUAUUCACAUCAGUUUAGUAGAUACAAACUGACGUUUUUCGCCAGAGCCCUUCUGAAUGUUCGUUUGAGCUCAAAUUUGACAGUUAGGCUCGAUUUUACUUAACAAAAAAAAUUUUAAUCUUUCAGUUUCGACCCCGUUUGGUCACCGAAAGCUCUAUCGAACUGUAAUCUCUAGCAGAUAGCAGUCGGAUUUUAUUUUUCACCUUCCGGGUGUCAGAAUGACAUAAAACUUUAAAUCUAGCCUCAUAAAAAUAAUUCUGGCAUAUUCUCCAGUUUUUAUAAUUUUCUGACACUGUGCUUUUUCUGCUAAAAUAUCAAUCCCGUUUCACACAGAAAAUUCUAAAUCUUCUGUUUUCGUUCCGAUUUCAGCACAAGUCAUUUCUGACUUAUAUUUUACCUCUUUAAAUCCAAUAAAAAUAGUAUCUCACACUAUUUUUAUUUAUUUUUAUUUUUAUACCAAAAUCUGGUAUGUUACAUUCUCCACCCCUUAAAAGAAUUUCGUCCGCGAAAUUCAAAUCACGCCUCAAUUCAGCUCCUCGAGCAAUUGAGAUUACCAACUCAUUCUCCCACUCCAGAGCAGCUUCACACUAUCGUGGUUCCAGAAGUGGCUCAUACUGAAGGACGUGGGUUCAAUCCUAAACACAUUUGCAAAGUGUGAUACAAAAGUGCAUCACAGGUCUUGCAAGUCAUAGUGGCAGCGCAAGUCGAUACUCGACGACUCUACGCGCUCCAACACCAUUCGCCACUCGGUAUACAAAGAACUCUUCUUUGCAUUGACCUUCCCUUCAGGAAAUACAUUCCAAUUCGAUCACCGAUAUUGCUUAGAAGCAAUAUCACUAGUGCUUCGUUCCAUUAUGAGUGCUCCAACUCCGCACUAACCUUUAGUUCUAACAUGAGAUGGCCUACCUCGGCGUAUCCCACUUCCAAUCCUCAAACUACACGUGGCUUCCCACUAGCUCAAGGUCUCACCCAGAGUACUUCAUCUUCUGAUACCAUAUGCCAUGGUCAACGUCAAAUUACUUUCGCAAUGAGCUCACAUGAACACUCCAUUCGUAAAUCCAAGUCAAGCUCCUCGAUAAGACUAUCCGCCAAGUCGCUUUUCUUAAUUUCAUAGGUGGCCAACAGACCGCCAGUGCCACAAAGGCCUAUCGCCUAACCUGUCUCAAUACGCAGCGUCUCUCGCUCGCAAAUGCAAACCUAAUCAUCAUCGGGCAAAAUUCUUACUUGGGAAUUCGCACACACUCCAACCAGGAGCAACUAAAAUCCCAAACCGUUACAGAUCCCCGGGUUGGGUCACCAUCGCACUCUCGGUACACUAUCAAUCGCACGACACGCUCUACCGAGCCACACGUACCACUAUCGGCUCCUAGGCACCUAGUGCGAGCCACCAGCCUUACGAGUGGUCCAUGGCACACUUCACACCCAGCAAUGCUCAAGUGCUACUACCAACACACUCACUCGGCUGAUCUAUAUCCGCACUCCACGAGUACCUAUACUCGGGCGUCACACGCUACUAUAGCAUUCUACACUAAGUCUUGGCUUUGGGCAAGAUUGCCCCCGCGCGUCGUCUACCAAACACAUUCUUCUACCUCACACUGAGGUACAACUAGGCCCAGAGGCCAAACUUGGCAUUAACCAACUAAUUCCGCAACAGUGAUUCUACUUUCACUGUUCGAUCUACCGGAAUGACAUCCGAAAUUUUCGAACCACUCGGGUGUUCUCGUAAGCAUCAUGGCUCAACUCUCGCAAUUUACUACUCAUAUUGCUCUGAGAGUCGAUUCGUCACUUCUAUCUCUACCGCGAGUCUCACUUCUUGCCAUAGAUCACUACUAGUACUUCGCUAGUGCCAUCUGGCUCUAUACCUAUAUUGGCAGGUACUACGCCCCCACAACAUGAGCAUGCCCGGGUAUCUAUGCUUAUCCAUCCACUCGGUCUCUACUAUGCUCAUGCACGACAAUAGUAAUUAACCACAUAACCAUUGCAUGCAAUACAUGAACUUCACAUCAUGCAAAACAUAUNUUUAUUCAGCUCCCGGUAAUCCACAUACAGUCUAAGUGAACCAUCCUUCUUCUUCACAAACAACACCGGCGCUCCCCAAGGCGAAACACUGGGUCUCACAAACCCUCUAUCCAUCCAAUCCUGAAACUGUGCCUUUAGCUCUCUCAGCUCUGCCGGCGCCAUCCGAUAAGGUACCUUCGAGAUUGGUGCAGUUCCAGGAACUACAUCAAUCACAAACUCAAUCUCCUUCUCCGGCGGCAACGUCGUCAACUCAGGGGGAAACACAUCCGGAAACUCGCGGACUACUGGGAUGUCUUCGAGUCCCGGUGCCACCGUAGGUACCUCCACAACUGUCACUAGGAAAGCGAUACACCCACUGCUCAGCAUCUGUCGAGCCCUCGCCGAAGAUAUCCAAGUAGCAAACAGCGUGCUUCUGCAGCCCCUAAAAGUGAACUCCUCCUAGCCUGGCUCGCGGAACGUCACCGUUCUCGCUCCACAGUCGAUCGUAGCAUAGUACCGCGCCAGCCAAUCAAUCCCGAGCACGACGUCGAAAUCCUGCAGCUGCCCUAACACCAACAGGUCAGCGGGCAUAAUCCACGAGUCUAGCUACACCGGACAUGACCAACAACACUCCACGACCUGCAAGACAUGGUCUGGGAUCUGCACCUCUCGUGCCUGAGACAAUGCUCCUAACUCUAGACCAUGUAACUGUGCAAAUGCUCGGCUAACAAAGGAAUGCGAUGCACCGGUAUCAAAAAGAGUACGAACUCUAAUGCCAGAAAUCAAAGUGAUAUCUGCCACCACUCGGUCGGCUGCUGUAGAGUCCUCCACCUGAGCUGCGUAGACCCUGCCGCUCGGAGCCUGCUGUCGCCGCUCACUCGACCGCGGCACAGACGAUCUGUCCUCCUGGCGGUAACUCGGUGCUGCUCCGUAAGACUGCUGCGGUGCUGGUGGUGCUGAAGCUGAUGAUGGUGCUGGAGAUGCUGCUCGGGGACAAGCUGCCCUCAUGUGUCCCGGCUGACCACACUCGUAGCACCUGCCCUCUCUCUGCUCGCACUACCGAGGCCAGCGUGGUCCCCCGCAGAUCACACACUGUGGCGUCCUCUGAGUCUGCCCCUGCUGACGGGAUCCCCUAGAACACUGACGCCCCGAAGACCCACGACCCUGAGAGCGUGAUCGUGGAGGCCUCGGCGGACGUCUGCUGCUCGACUGUCCUCCGUCAUCUGGAAAGGGGCGCUUCCUGUCCUGACCCUGCCCCACGGCCUGAGUCCUCUCCUGCAGCGACACCUCACCUCGCUCCACCCACAAGGCCUGCUCUAUAGACGCAUCCAAAGUCCUUGACCUCUGCGCCCGAGUCAAUCUAAAGAUAUCCGGUCUCAGCCCCUGCUCGAACAUGUACACCCUGUGCGCCUCGUCUCUGGCCGCAAAUGGUACACAGUUCAGGAGUCGAGUAAACUCCCGAACGUACUCCUGCACUGGGCGAUCUCCCUGCUGAAGCGUCCUCAAACCCUACUCGAGCUUCUGCUUUACACUGUUGGGAAAGAACAUCCCAAACAGCAUUCCACAGAACUCAUCCCACCUCAGCUGCGCCGCCACCAGCCCCUGGUCUCGCCUCGCUCUCCGCCACCAGUCAUGAGCAUCACCUGCUAAACAGUGUACUCCCAGAGGUACCUGCUCCCCCCUAGUACUCUGCUCCAUCUGCUCAGGUCUCUCAGGAGAUCUCGCACGAUCCCGGGCCAACUGAGCACGCUCCCGCAAAGACAGUCGACCUCGGCGAUGAUACAUAGCUGAAAAGAACAGAUCGGGGUCAGUUGAAACACAAACACUCUUGACCCAAUCAACGAAAGUCUGGAAGGCCGUCCAUGUUUCCCUCCAAAAUUAUGUCGUCUGCAGCCAACAUAAUUUCUCAGGCCAAAACAGAAACUCCUUCAGUUACUCACUCUACUCUAAGAGGAGUUAGAAUAAAUAAUCAUUGACUUUCGCAAUUAAAUUACGCCUCUCGCGUCUUGCUUUCCUAAGGUUUGCCAAACUUAGGUUUCCUAGGUCCCAACGACCUACAGCAAAGCUCUGAUAUCAAUUUAAUCUGUCACGCCCCGGAUGUCUCGUUCCCCGGGCACGCCGACAAAUCCGCCGUAUACAAAGGAAUUUUCCCUGUAUACGAAGCGACAACUGUACCUGUAAAUCAAACACUACUACGAACAGUAGUAGAGAGCUGCUAGAGAAAACAGAAGCUAAACAAACUGAGUCUCAUAUACAUAGUCCAAAUCCAAAAUACAGAGCUACUCGCACUGGCGAGUUAAGUCCACUAUGUACAUAAACUCGAAACAAAACAUCUACCUGCAGUAGGGGUGCCUCUAGCUCAGCACGUCGGGUAGGGCUCUAACUCGCGAUGCCCUUGCCACGAUCCUGAUCCGCGGAAGGCGUAGCAGCCGAAACCUGUGGCUUUGCAAAACAUGGGUAACAACUGGGCGUGAGAACUACUGUAAAAACAAGUAGUCCUCAGUGGGUACGGCCCAAAACAACAUCGGUCCACCAACUAAGUCUACAGAAGGAAGCAAGAAUAGCCGAAAAAGCAGGAAAUAAACUCAACCGCUACAAAUCACUACACUAUCAUGCUCUACACUAACCAACUGUAGGAAAUGUCAAAUCUGACCCAAUCCAAUCGGGACUGUAAACAUACCCGUCCCUGGGACUGUGAAUACACCCGUCCCUGCCCAGUUGCGACUAUCCAGCUACCUCCACACUAAUUGGUCCGUGGAGAGCAAGUCCAACCGGCAUGAGCGACACCAACGCAAAAGCACAAAGCCCGUCUCCGGAGUAGCACUCGUGGGCGCUACCCAACUGAGUAUGCAGCGUAUCUCUGUCGAAAGCCAAAGUCCAGUAACUAACUCAACCUGGUCUAACAACAAACAAGUAAAGUGUCCUUGACACAAUCUGACGCCAAAAAGGUGAUACAGGUCCACCGUCAACUCUAACGGCACCCAACAGUCUGAAACAGCUUAAACGACUCUGUAAAAAUCCACUCGGCGUACCAGCACGAGCGUAAAUGUAUUCUAAACUAUCUGGAUUACUCGUCUCGAGGAUACUGCGAUAGUACAAAUUUUAUAACGGCUCCUAGAGCUAAAUCAGGCAGUUUAAACAAGUGACAGGUCCAAAUCGCAGGUUUUCUCCUAAUUCAAAUUUCAAGUCCAACAUGUAUAAACUACUCAAGUUAAUACCACAUGCUCCAAAUUCAGAUUGGCUAUCUAUAACAUAAUCCAAGAAUUCGAGCUAGAAAAGACUAUACUAAAAAUCGAAUUUAUACAUGUCGACGAUUAGAAUUUAGGAGUCAAAACCGAUGUAACCCACCUCAAAAAGCUAGCUCCUGGCAGCGAACGAAGCCUCGAACCAACGGGAUCCCUGCUGGCUCAACUGGAACCCUCCAAGUCUAGCACUCGGGCUGACUCCAAGCUCUACGAUCCAAAAUCCACCAAUUCAGUCCGAAUUUCGCAGCAACAGAGUAGAAAAGGGGUUCAACCAAGCUAACCUUCUCCAAAUCUGGCAAGUAAGGGCUUCGUGGAUUCCUCUCGAAGUCCCGAAUCCAACGAACCAAGCCCCGUCGAAAUCCGAUGCUUCUACGCUGAGUACGAGCUGAAAUACCAACGGUCGACUGCGAAAAACAGCAAAACAGCACUUAAGCUCAAAUUGAUGAUACUUGAAGCACUUGAAGCAAUUGCAAUGGAACGCUCACCUCAAUAGCGACUAGCACCGGCGCGACAUCAAGAACAGGGAAGACGCACCCUCGCCCGGCCUCCUCGCAAAGCUCCGGCAACAAUCGUAUCCCCGAACGGCUCCGCGGCGCGACGUCGACGACGAACUCCGAACUCCAAUAGUCUUCUCCUUGCUCGGCCGAUGCUAGAGAGAGAGAUGAAGAAGAAUAGGUAAACUCUCCUCUCUCAGCUCUCUACGCAUGCAAAUAGCAGUAAGUGGGGUGGGGUGAUACAAACGAGGCUUGGAAUUACCAAAAAGCCCCUCUACCUACCCCCUUGUACCGGUACACGGGCUCCUGUACCGGUACAAGAGCCAACCCGAGAGUAGCUAAACCAGAGCGCGCUGGUUGUACCGGUAUAGCCACGCUGGUUGUACCGGUACAGCAAACAGAAAAUUCUGCUGUUUUGCAGAAUUCCUCGCGAUAAGUUGCCCUCGCGUCGCACGGAGUCCGUUUUGCGUCUAUUUGACGCCAACGCGACUCAGACUUGUCCCGACACUCUCCAGAGCUGCUGACAAGCCUCCACAACAGGACAGCAGGGAUCUCACAGUUCACACUGUUGUGGGUAACGAAAACACCCACAAACGACACAUCUCACCAAGGACCGAACAUAGUAGGUCCCCGGAACUCGGGAUCACGAGCGCAAACACAUUGCACUCAGUUGAGAACUUGACGGACCACCGAAUCCACUCGUUGGCCGUCCUCUUUCCUUUUUCCUUGUAAUUAGACUCACACUCCCGUCGCACACUUGCACUGCCUCGUUCUAUCCACAAGGCCUAAUAUUCAAAUCUCCUCUAAUCCUCCUCUUUGGAAAAGCUCCUGGAGAGAGAGAAGAAGGAACAUAGAGCUGAAGGGGUACUCCCUGCUGUGAACAAGGAAGGAGGAGGUGUGGGGUUUAUACAAGCCGCCACAACUACAUUUAAACCCUCCAACAUUUCUCAUUUGCAGCAUUUCUCACUUGCAUUUAAACCUGCUGCAAGGCCCAUUUAGUACUGGUACAAGGUUGGUUGUCACCGGUUACACGAUUCGGCAAAACCAAACCCGAGAGCAUUCUGUUCGGGUAAUACACUUGGUACCGGUACACUUUCAGCCUGUCACCGGUUACAACACAUUGCAGAGGCAAACCCGUGAGCUGUUUCUCUAGGUUUACUAUGCUGUACCGGUACACCCUUGGUGUUAAAUCGGUAACACUUGCUUCAGAAUUUCAGUUUUGCACCGCUUCGACUCCAAUUCGCGCAGAGCAAUGCAAAAACCUUUCUAACUCCUUUGGAACUCAAUUUUAACCCUUCCAACAUUGUUGUAAAGUCAAUUGGACUUUGUCCAACUAUUUCUCUCAACGUACUUUGGUCAAUUUGACCAAAAGUGAUCUAACACGAUGAGAAUUCCGUUAAUUUCUCAAAGGUCAUGAGGACCGCCAAAGCUCACGAAGUUCCAAGUCCUUGCUUGCCUUAAAUUGCCCAGGGACACCACUUGGCCCAUCCCGCGCCGAUCUAAACGAAGAUCGCAUACGCAGUGCUAUCGCUUCCUAAAACGCGACAACUCUAUUAAUCCUCGACCUUUUAGGUCGAACACGAGAUACUUAAUACCGACUCAAAUCGGGCGAAAGUCACGCAAAGGCCUCUAUUCUUAUCACUCGGUUUCAUGUUGUGCGCGCCCAACACGAACACACUCGGUUGAGAAUUAACCACACCUUGAAUCUACCUCUAACAUCCGUUUUAGAGAUUUACGACACAACCCAAUUAAUUAACCUUUCGCCAAAAGUCACAAGUCCUUGUCUCUCACGAGCCUUAAUCUCCUAUGGUUUAUUAUCCUAGGGUCUCCUAGGUCCAACUAAACUAUUUUCUAUUAUUCUUUUUAUGUUCGUUUUAUGCUCUGAUACCAUCUUUUCUGUUACUCCCCGAACCCGCCUCUUUGGUCAGAUUCGGGCACGCCAACAUGGUUUCCCCUGUACCACGGACAGAGUCUCUCCUGUACGUCCAAGACAUCACAAUCCAUACAAAGCGUGAGGUUCCAACCAGGAACAGUAUUCAAAUAAGGAUUGCAUAAGGAAGUAUCAAAAACAUAAAUACAACUAUACUAUUACAAGCAUUCAUCUCAAAUUUUUUUACAUAUUACAUGCAUCUUACAUUUUAGUCUUCCAAAUACAAUCCAAAUUAUUACAAAUUAUUACAAUCUUAUUUUUUUCAUUUCCUUACAUCCCUAAGUAGCCGACUUAGGGUACCGCUAUCUUUGGUCUCAGUGGUAGGGCGCUAACUACGGAGCUACGCGCUCGCCUCGCGCCGCCGCGCCGCUCACGUGUGAACCUAUACCCCCAAAAACAACACUGGGGUGAGAACUAUUGUCCAUAGUUCCCAAUAGGUACGGCCACCUAAGGGAAAAGCUCGACCCACAAGGUCCAAAGGAGGCACUGCAAGUAUGUUGUCCAACAGAUAUCCACAGAUAAUAUUUAUGCAAAUAUUAAAUACAUGUUUAUGCCUCAAGACAUGCAAUAUGCAAAUGUAAAUCAUGCAAUCAACUAAGUAGAUCAUCAGAUACUAUUCUCUAUCUCACUAUCCAUAGCUUUUUCAUAAUUUAUACAUUUUGUCAUAUUACAUCAUUCAUUAUUUGCUCCUAAGGUUUUUCUCUACCUUAGCGAAACUAACCACCCGACUCGGCCUCGAGUCAAUCAUCUGCGGAAUACCGCAUACAACCAGGCUCGAGGUGAUGGACGUCUCACAUACACCUCAGCCUUAAAUCUACUCGAUAGGGAUACCAAAUCCAUAGCUCAUAAUGCAUGCUUUUUCACUUUCAUUUUGGCUUUUACCCAAUUAACCCGGUUAACACUUGUUAACCCCAAAACUCACAACCCAAAAUCCCUUAAUAACGUGGAACUCGAACCACCCUAGGGACCGUCUGCUGGACAAGUACGUUAGUCCAUGGGCAAAUACGUUAGCCCAUCGUAUGACAACUCUGGAGUGCACUGCUUGGGUGGAGCGACCACCGCCAAGCUAAAAACAGACUGUGAGUAUCAUCCAAUCCUCUAGCCCGAGGAUACCCUACCAACUAGUUACACCAAUCCCAAACCUCAUGUACUAAGUAAUCAUAUUGUCUCUAGCUAAUGCCACAAUGUUUCUAAGUUCUCAUUGUUAUGUCAAAUGCCACAAUGUCUCUAAGUUCUCAUUGUUAUGUCAAAUGCCAUAAGUGUUUCCAAUACACUAAUCAUAUGCCACUCGAUCUAUUUGACAUCCUAAUUGUUCACAUCGAGUAUCAUAGUUCAUAUGCCAUUAUUUUUCAAUGUCAAGUUCUCAAAUUCACCUAGAGUUUAUCGACUCAAGUUCAACAUGCAAAUGUCAAUUAACAUAAUCCUCUAUAUAUAAACAUGUAUAGUUCAUCUAUCAUAUGCAAUAUAUCAUCAUGUAUAUAUUUUCAUUUAACAUAAUCCACAAUAUAUUAAUUCACAAUAUGUCAUCAUGCACAUAUACCAACUAGCAUCUCAUGAUAUGUAAACACACAUAUAUACAUCAUCUAGCAUAAUCCAAACUAUGCCAACGUGCCUUUCUAUAGUAUCACUUUCAUGCAUUCAUAUAACCUCUAUGAUAUGUAUUCAUAUAACAUUUCAUGCAUUCUUAUAGUAUCAUUUUCAUGCAUUCAUAUAACCUCUAUGACAUGCAUUCAUACAGCAUUUCAUGCAUUCUUAUAGUAUCAUUUUUAUGCAUUCACUUAGCAUAUUUCUUAUGCAUUUACCAUUCUUCAACUAGCUACCAUUAUAUGCAUCAAUAAUAAACAACGCUCCACUUCGACAUGGAAGUGAGCUAAUAUCUUCGGUGAGCACAACCCACCUCAAAUCGCUUUUCGAUUGCUUGUAGUCACUUGCAAUCGGCCUCCCGCGGCACCCGUGAUCCGGUUCGGCCCGAACUUGCGCGCGACCACCCAAACGGCCAUCAAUCUAUGAUCCGAAAAUUGAAGGUCUAUAACUUGAUGUCACGAUGCUCCGGAUUCGUUUUCAUGAUUUUUGGACGUCGCCUCGGCCCUCCAGGCGGAAACGAAGCCGAAACAUCCGUUUCUUCAAUAUCUUCGCAUAGGCUCGACGAAUCGCCGAACCGACUUCGCCAACGCGUUCAUAUACCUAGCAAUUGGGUUUACGUAGGGUUAAUUUAGAUUAAACCCAAAUAUUUUACAGAAACUCCAUUUUGAACCUUAACAUGCUACUGCUGCAAUAAACUGCCAAAUUGAUUCAUAAUUCAAGCAAAUAGCAUGUUGUUAUCACCUAGGGAGUCCUCUAAACCCAUUCCUAGAGCAUAUAAAUAAAGCUCUAAAGAUCUACCAUGAGAGGGGCUCAAGAAGCUCACCUCAAAGCUUGUUCCAAAACAAGGAGAAAAUGAAGAAGAUGAAGAUGAUUCACUUCCAAGCUUCAAUCUUUACAAAAUCCUUCAAUUUUUGGAGAGAUCUAAAGAGAGAAAGGGAGGUCUCUCUCUCCCUCCAUUUAUGCGUGUGUGUGUGUGUGUGGUGUUGUGGCUGCACGGUUGAGGGAGAAGAAGCAAAUGCUUCUUAUACAAUUAACACCCUCACAAUACACUAUUCACAUCAGUUUAGCAAAUACAAACUGACGUUUUUCGCCAGAGCCCUUCUGAAUGUCCGUUUGAGCUCAAAUUUGACAGUUAGGCUUGAUUUCACUUAACUUAACAAAAGAAAUUUUAAUCUUUCAGUUUCGACCCCGUUUGGUCACCGAAAGCUCUACCGAACUGUAAUCUCUAGCAGAUAGCAGUCGAAUUUGAUUUUUCACCUUCCGGGUGUCAGAAUGACAUGAAACUUUAAAUCUAGCCUUAUAAAAAUAAUUCUAACAUAUUCUCUAGUUUUCAUAAUUUUCUGACACUGUGCAUUUUCUGCUAAAAUAUCACUCCCGUUUCACACAGAAAAUUCUAAAUCUUCUAUUUUCGUUCCGAUUUCAGCACAAGUCAUUUCUGACUUAUAUUUUACAUCCCUGAAUCCAAUAAAAAUAGUAUCUCACACUAUUUUUAUUUAUUUUUACUUUUAUACCAAAAUCUGGUAUGUUACAGUUGCAAUGCUCAUAUGACCCUUAACUAUAAGGUUGUUAUGUCAUAAUGUCAACUUGCAAAUAUACUUGCAUCCUCUAAUUCCAUUAGUGUCAUUUACACUACAUAUUCUUGUACUCAAUCUCUAGCAUUCAAUACUCAACAAUGCCACACACUAACUGUAGUGUUUGAUGCUCUAGCAUUCCAUAUACAUUCAUUAGUGCCACACUUGUACACUAGCAAUUCUUUACUCUUUAAUGCCACUCAACUAAGAGUUCAACUCUAGCAUUUAUUAUAUUUACUAAUGCCACUCGAUUCACAAGUCAUAGUAUCACAAUGUUCUAUACCUCAUCUAGGUUUUUUAUCACCAAUCAUGCAUACAUAGGGUUCAUAGGUUCUCAACCAUCUCAUAAUGCAUUUGUACUCACAACAUGCAAUAACUCAUGUAAACACAAUCUCAAUCACCCUACAAUGCAUGAAACCCAUCAUAUACAUAUGGUCAAUAAGUGACACUUUAGACAUAAAAAGAAAUUCAAUGAGUUUGGAGAGCACCACCCACCUCGUAGGCUUGCUAAGGUGCUAGGGUUCGAGUUUUACGAUUUUUGGCCGCCUAUUUCGCGUGCUGCGGCAAUCUGUACCAAAACCGACCUUUUUAUCAAUUUCUUCGCGUACACUCGUCGGAUCACUGAACCGAGCGCACCAACGCAUCGGAAAUACCCCCAAUUACGUUUGUAUAGGGUCAAUUGGCUUUCAGAACCAACCAAUGCAAAAGGCCCAAUUUGGGUGCCCUAGCAUCAUCACAUUUACAUAUACCCCAUUUUGAUCUCUACUAUAAGCAAGAAUAAGCUUAUUAUCAUCCAGAGGUUCCAUUAAAAUCACUCAUAAGUCAAUCAAAACUCAUCUUAGGGUUCUACCAUAAGAAGGGGUUGAAGCUUACCUCUAAAAGCUUCCUUUCCUCAAGCUAAUGGAGAAGAUGAAGGAGUUGCCUCACUCCUUGGCCUCCUUCUCCACCAAAUCCUCUUCCUAGCUCCACUUCUUGACAGAGAGAGAGAGAGAUCCUAGAGAGAGAGGGAGAGUCUUGAGUGUAAGGUGAGGGAGAAAUGAGAGAAAGCCCUCAUACCUUCACAUACAUACCCCACACAUUGCAUAAAUGCAUUUAGACCCCUCAACUUUCACCAUACAACACUGCCCAGACUGGGCAAUUUUCGCUUGAGGGGACCGGUCUCUCUAGCAGGGACAGGUCCCCGAGAGCAUCCUGUGCACAGAGCAGCCUUUCUGCUCAAUUUCAUGCGUACAGGGACCGGUCCUCCCCUGAGGGACUGGACCUUCAGGGACCCGUCUCUCUAGCAGGGACCGGUCCCCGAGAGCACAAAAACUGCAAAUUUUCACUCUCAUUGCUCUCGAAGACCUCCUACAAUGCAGUUAAGCCUCUUUUAACGCCUUCGGCCUUUCCGAAGCGUCCCAACCUCGCACUUUGGUCAUUUUGACUAGAGUUCGAUAAUCUUUACCAAGUUUCGGUAUAUUACAACUCAAUUGGAUCUCAACGCCAUGCAUUUGUGCGAAUGGUCGGCUAGUGAAUGAAUGCGUAGCACCUGUAUCAAAUAAAGCUCUAGCUCGCACAUUAUUAAUUAGCACCACACCUGCCACCACGUCACAGCCGACUACCUCCGUAGGUUCUUCCACUUGAGCCGCAUACACCCGACCACUAGGAGCCGGUCGGGGUGCCUCCAACUGACGCGGUGCUAUCACACGUCUAGCCGACAUCGCAGCAGGGGAGCUCCUACAAACUGCCUCGGAGUAGCCGGAGCGGACGCAACAGACGGGGCAGGCGACGAUCUCUCCGAGCACUGCCGGCCGAUAUGUCCCGCCUGACCCAUCUGAAGCACCAUCCCUCCCUAUGUUCGCAGUUCAUUGGGCGAUGCUCCCCGCCACAGAUCACACACCUAGACUGUCCACGGCUCUUUGACUGACCCUUCGGAUACUUCGGGGGCUUCUUGGAGCUAGAUUGUCCCCCCGAACCACCCAUAGGCCGCUUCUUUUCUUUGUCUUUCUCAAAUACCUCGCGCUCCUCCCGCACGCAAGCAUUCUCCUGCUCAACCCACAAGGCACGGUCCAACACCUCCGUAAAGGUUCGGAAUUUGAAAGCAUGCACCAUUCGGAAUACAUCGGGCCGGAGUCCACGCACAAAGCACUCCGCCUUGUCUUGCUCGGUCCGCGCCACAUCUGGGACACAAUUCAUAAGAUGUGUGAACUCCCGCUCGUACUCCCGUACGGUGCGAUUGCCUUGCUUUAGCUUUCGAAAAUUUUUCCACAUCUUUCUCUUGUCACUAUCGGGAAAAUACUCGGCAAACAUCAACCCUCGAAACUCCUCCCAAUCGAUCGAGGGAAGAUCCGGAGAUCGAUCCUUCUUCACCCUCCUCCACCACACUCGAGCCGUCUUCUCAAAGCAAUGAGCGGCCAAGUGCACCUUGUCUUACUCCAAGGUGUAGAUGUCCUCGAACAAAGUCUCUAUCAUGGCUAGCCAAGUCUCCAUGAUCCAAGGAUCUAUCACCUCGCCAUCAAAGGUUGGAGGAAGAAACUUCAUGAACUUUGUGAGAGCUGUAUAGCCACGCUCUCGCUCGGCCUCCUCUGCCGCCGCAUCGAGUACCGAAGAACCCGAGGCCAUCGGUGGAAUACACACCGGCGGAGGGCAUGCCGCCACUGGAGCUGCCGAAAUGCCCACACCCUCAGCGGCAUUCGGCGCACGAGCCGAGGGCGCGGGCGGAUCACGGCCUUCGGUCGCCGUCGCAGCCGCCGCCGCCACUUGCCACUCCAUCAGCUCCUGGAGCCGCUCAAACCGGUUCUCUUGGCGCUGCACCACACUAACUAGUGCAGUCAUCUACGCCCGUAACUCCUGCACCUCGUUACACCCAAAUUACUCGGGCACCUCAGAAGGCGGUGCCGGAGUGGAUCGCGUCGCGGGGCGUCUUAUCGAUGCCAUAGCUCCUGAAACGCAACAAUCAGGUUAAUCACCUUAACCCACGAACCGAACGCAACACAGGAACAAACGACUCAUACCAAAUCUAGCGGAAGCACACAAGCAUACUCAUUUCCAAUCCUUAGCGUUAUGUUGUCGGCCGACAACACAACUCCCUCGAAUUAAAACAAGUAUUACUUGGAUCCAUCUCUAUGAACCACUAGAGACACAUACAAUUAUACCCAAUUGACUUAACUUCCGCCUCAACUCAUAGGUCCACGUCACUCAUGCACUUAUGUCCUUAGAGUUACCAACCGAGGGUCUCCUAGGUCCAUCUUAGACUUCUCUUUUUUACUGCUCUGAUACCAUUCUUCUGUCACAGCCCGCGACCGCCUAUUUGGUCGGUUCGGGCGCGUCGACAGACGCCGAACGGACAAAGUCUCCCCUGUCCGCCCAAGGCUCAACAAGCACUCAUGUAUAUCUAGUUGCCCAGGAAACAAACAUCAACAACAUACAUGAUACAAGCGAGUAAUCAUAUAAGCGAGCAAGAGAGAAUCUAACUACUACAUUUAACAUUCAACCAUUUUACAUGUUUCCACCAAAUACAUCCAUAUAAUACAACUUGCAUCAAAUAGAUACAUAACAUCUCUAGCAACCUCACCAAAAUACAACAUCAAGUCUUUCUACCAAUAUACAUAUCUCAAAAUGGUACAUGACUCUAAUGCACAUAGGAGGUAGCUAUCUAGCUAGCGCACUAUGCCCUUACCGCGGUCCUCCACCUGUCCGCCCGUCCUCGGCCCUGCAAUAAAGUGGGAUGAGAACUAAUAAAUAGUUUCCAGUGGAUUCGGCUACCGACGCCGUUGAUUUUCCCACUAGGUCUAAGCAGGCAACAGUAGUAAAGAGUUAGCGAUGAAACAAUUCUCUAGCAUGCUACUAUGCCUUUACAAUAUGAAACAAUAAGCAGGUAAGGUAAACAAGUAAUAACAACUACUAUGCUCAUGAUGCAUGCCAUUUACCUUUAUUUUCAUAACCCAAUUAUUCCGGCUUACCUGAAGGUUAAGCCCAGACUCACAACCCAAUCACGCAUCGUGAGGAGACGUCCGCUACUCUCACCCUGGACCGUCUGCGGGGUAGCUAUGCUAACCCCUACCUGAAGUACUCUGGAGACCAAGCUUGAGUAGAGCGACCACCGCCAAGCAAAACAGACGUAUGUUAGCAUGAUCCAAUCCUCCAACCCGAGGAUACCCUACUAACUAGUGGUAAUCAAGUCCGGAAACACCAAUCCCCAAUUCUCAUAACUUGAGUAAUCACACUCCCUCUAGCCAAUGCCACAAUGUCACAAUGUCUCUAGCUAAUGCCACAAAGCCACAAUGGUCUUUAGCUAAUGCCACAAUGUCAUAAUUGUUUCUAGCUAAUGCCACAAUGUCUCAAUUGUCUCUAGCUAAUGCCACAAUGUCUCAAUUUCACGUUUUCAUGUCAAAGCCACUUUCGGUGCCACUAUCACGCCCCGUGCCCCGCCUAUUUGGUCGAGUUCGGGUACGCCGACAGACUGCCGAAUGGACAGAGUUUUCCUUGUACGUCCUAGGCGUCGCAAUCAAUACCAACAAGGGUUCCAACCAGGAACAGUAUUCAAUAUACAAAUUGCAUAAGUAUAAAAAACAUAAACCGCUAACUAUUACAAGCAUUCACAUACAUGCUUUUACAUUUCAAUUACAUACUACAUUUAACUUCCAAAAUACAAUCUAAGUUAUUACAAGUUUAUUACAACUUUUACUUUUUUCCUUCCCUCUACCCCUAGGCUAUGCCGACUCGGACUACCUCUAUCUCGGUCUCUGGGUAGGGCGCUAUCGACGGAGCUACGCCCUUGCCUCGCGCCGCCGUGCCGUUGACGUACAAACCUGUAACACCCGAAAACAACGUGGGGUGAGAACCAACUCCAUGGUUCCCAGUGGGUACGGCCACCCAAGAAAAAAGCUCGACCAAUAGGUCCAAGGAGGCACUGCAAUCAUGUUAGUCCAAAAGCAUCUAUAGAUAUAUAUCGUCAUGUUAUUAUGCAACUAACAGAUAACAUGCCUCGUAAUAUGCAACAUGAAUAUAUGAAAUCAACUAGUAGAUCUAUUGAUUCUACGUUCCACUUUGCUAUCUUUAGCUCAUAUCAUUCAUCUCUAAGGUUUCUACUACCUUAGGUUCACGGUUCAAGUUUCACUUGCUUCUAAGGUUUCUAUUCCCUUAGCUCAUGCCAUCUAUCUCUAGCUUUCAAGGUUUCUACUACCUCAUCUAAGCUAUCCACCCGACUCGGCUUCGAGUCAAUCAUCCGCGGAUAAUCCGUGCACUGGCUACACCGCAGCCUACCGCCCUCCGUGACUUAGCCCCAUAGCGGCGAAAUCGCCGCACACGCUGAAUAGGCUCAAGUCACCUGGCAGCCUGAUCCACAAUCGGCUUAACCAUCUGGCGGCGAAAUCGUCGCACACACCCAGCCAUGGUUCAAGCCUCCGGGUGGCGAACACUGUACACACACCCAAUCCACCUUGGUAUCAAUCUCGGCGGCGAAAUCGUCGCACACGCCCUAGCUGUCGACCUAUCUAUCCAACCCUAUGCUGUCGACCUAUCUAGGUUCGACCCCGAACAUCCUAGUGGCUGCUACCACUAUGCUCAACAACCUAGGUUUAAUGCCACUCUAGGUUUACUACAUGUCAUAACCUAGGUUCCAACACUCUAGGUUCUAUACCAUUCAUGUCUGACCUAUGUUUAUUAACACUAGGUUCAAUGUCAUUCCUAUUCAACCUAUGUUCACGACACUAGGUUGGAUGCCACUCGCCUAGAUCUAUUUGACUCUAGGUUAAUUCACAACCUAUGUUCUUUAACACUAGAUUAGAUGCCACUCAUGAUUCAUCCUAGGUUUAACAACACUAGGUUCGAUGCCACUCGAUCUAUUCGACCUCCUAAUUGUCCAAUCGAGCAGUUCACAUUACUAUUUUCCAUUGUCGAGUUCUCUACUCGCUCUAGGAUCAUCAAUCUCAUUCACAUGCAUAUGUACAUAGCAUAUCCUCACAAUGCUAAUCAUGCAUUCAUGCAAUUUACCUAGCAUUUACAUAACAUGCUUAUCAUGCAUUCAUUUAGUAUUAACUACAUGCAUCACUUGGUAGCUCAACACAAUAUUCAUCUCAUGCAAUCAUGGAUUUAAAACUAACUACCAUUAUAUGCAUCAAUAUGAAUUCACAAUUCGCUUAGACAUAACGGCGACCUAGUUGCUUCGGUAAGCAUAACCCACCUUAACUUACUCUCCGAUUGCUCGUAGCCACUUGCAAUCGGCCGCCCGCGGCACCCGCUACCCGACUCGGCCCGAACUCGCAAUUGCACACCAACCGUGCGCUGCUUCGCAGCCUCGAAAAUUAUAGGUCUUCGGUUAUGUGCCACGGUGCUCGGGAUCCGAUCUCGUGAUUUUUGGACGUCGCCUCGGCCCUCCAGGCGGAAACGAAGCCAAAAACGCCGUUUCUUCAAUAUCUUCGCGUAGGCUCGAUGAAUCGCCGAACCGAUUUUGCUAGCGCGUCAGAAUACCUAGCAAUUAGGUUUAUAUAGGUUCAAUUUAGAUCAAACCCAUCUACUAGCAAAAAUUACAUUUUGUAGCCCUAGGUUACAACUAUGCAAGAAAUCACCAUUUAGCUUCAUGAUUCAAGUAUUAACCUCUAUUUAGGAUCUAGGAGUUCCACUAAAUCCAUUCUUAGAGCAUAUAAUUGAAGCCCUAAAAUUCUACCAUUAAAGGGCAUCAAAGCUUACCUCUCAAGCUAGCUCCAAUGGAGAGGAAGAAGAUGAUGAAGAUGAAAAUCCACCUUCAAGCUUUAAUCUCCACCAAAUCCAUCUCUUGAUUCCACCUUCAAGAGAGAGAGAGAGAGAGAGAGAUCCUUCUUGGUUGCAAGUGUGAGGGAGGGGGAGAAGAAGUGUGCGGGUGUGUGUUGUGUGCUCAUGCAGCCAGCCACAAAUAAGUGCUGUAACAAUUGCACAAAACCCCCUCUCACACAAUACAACUUGCAUCUCCAGUUCAGUUUAGCAGUUUAGAGUCGUUGGAGCCCUUCUGAAUGUACGUUUACGCUGAAAUUUAACAGUCAGGCUCGGUUUAACUUAACAAAACUGAAUAUAUCUUAACUUUUCAGUUUUAACCAUUUUUGGUCAUCGAAAGCUUUACCGAAUUGUAAUAUCUAGCAGAUAGCAGUCGGAUUUUAUUCUCCACCUUCCGGGUGUCGGAAUGACAUGAAACUUUAAAUCUAUCCUCAUAAAAAUAAUUCCGACAUAUUCUCCAGUUUUCAUAAUUUUCUGACACUGUGCAUUUUCUGCUAAAAUAUCAGCCCCGUCUCUCACAGAAAAUUAUAAAUCUUCUAUUUUCGUUCCGAUUUCAGCACAAGUCAUUCCUGACUUAUAUUUUAUUUCUCUAAAUCCAAUAAAAUUAGUAUCUCACACUAUUUUUAUUUAUAUUUAUUUUUAUAUUAAAUUUCGGUAUAUUACAGCCACGAAGUUCCAAGUUUUUCUUAUCAUGUCACUAUAGAGUUCCUUGUUCACAUCCAAUCCUUAUGCACAUCACACUAUGUUUCAACUCAUAUGUUCCAACAUAUACCAUGAAAACAAGCAAGGAAUGGAAGAUGCAACAUCCUACUCUACAAUGCAUGAAUGCUAACAUGAACAUAUAAAUGGCUAAUGAAGUAACUUAGACAUAAAAGAAAAUCCGGAUGUUCCGGAUAGCACCCCUCAUCUCUAAACUCCACCGAGGUGUGAGAAUCAUAGUUUCGUGAUUUUUAGAUGUCGUCUCGACCCUAUCCGACAGAAACGAAGCGAAAGUGAUCCUUUUUCCUAAGAAUUCGCCGCACGCCCGCAGGAACCCCCGUUUGAGUUGCCCACGAUGUCAGUUUUACCUUCAAUUGAGUUUCCAUAGGGUCAAUUUAAGUCCAACCCAAGCUCAUGGCAAAACCCCAAUUAGAAACCCUAGAAUCCACUAUUUGUAAGAAUACACUAAACAAAGCUAUGAUUCAAGCAAAUAACAUCUUAAUACCUUCUAGAGAUUCAUCUAAAUCCAUUCCUAGGGUAUUUAAACCAAACCAUAAAGAUCUACCAUGAGAGCUCCAAGAGCUUACCUCUACAAGCUUUCCCUUUUGCCAAAAAAGAAGAAGAAGAUGAAGCUCUACCUUCUAGCACCUUCCUCCACCACUUUCUCCUCUUGCUUCCACCCUAGGAGAGAGAGAGAGAUCUUAGAGAGAUCUUAGAGAGAGAGAGAAAGGUUCCUUUUCUCUUAGGUUUAGGUCUAGUGAGGGUAAUGAGGAAGGAGAAGAGAGACUUCACCCGUAUAACCCCUCAUACAUACAAAACUACAAAAAACACCCCCCACAAGUCAAGAUGUGAGAUCCCUGGUGUGUUGUUGUGGCGGCUUGUCGGCAACUCUGGAGAGUGUCGGGACAAGUCCGAGUCGCGUUGGUGUCAAAUAGACGUAAAACGGACUUCGUGCGACGCGAGAGCAGCUUAUCGCGAAGAAUUCUGCAAAACAGCAGAAUUCUCUGCUUGCUGUACCGGUACAACCAGCGCGGCUGUACCGAUACAACCAGCACGCACUAGUUUAACUGCUCUCGGGUUGGCUCUUGUACUGGUACAGGAGCCCGUGUACCGAUACAAGGGGGUAGGUAGAGGGCUAAUUUGGUAAUUCCCUCCCUCGUUUGUAUCACCAACACACCCUCUCUCUAUUUAGCUUCGUGUAGAGAGAGAGAAGGCCUCUUGCUGCAUUUCUUCAUCUCUCUCUCUCACUCUCAUCCGGUUGAAGGCAAGGAAGAGCUCGGGUGAAGAAUCGUCGCCGACGUCGUGCCGCGUAGCCGUUCGAGCACGUGAUUGUUGCCGGAGUAGUGCGAGGAGGCCGGGCGAGCAUGCGACUUCGCUGUUCUUGAUGUCACGCCGGUGCUAAUCGCUGCCGAGGUGAAUGUUCCGUCGAAUUGCUUCGUUAUUUCUCCAAGCAUCAUUAAUUCGAGCUUAAGUGUUGUUUGCUGAAAUUCAUCGUCGACUGUUAGUAUUUCACCUCGUACUCGACGUAGGAGCAUCGGUUUGCGACGAGACUUGGUUCGUUGGAUUCGGGACUGCGAAAGGAAUCCACGAAGCCCUUACUUGUGAAUUUUGGUGAAGGUUAGCUUGGUCGAAACCCUCCUCUUCUCUACUAUUGUGUAUUUGGACUGAAUUGUGAAUUUUCGAUGUUGAUAGCUUGGAGAUAGAUUGAUUUCGAGACUCGGACAUUUUCAGUCGAUCUAGCGGGUUGUGCCACAGCCGAGGGAGUUCCGUGUUGUCAGGGAUUAGCUUUGAGGUGGGUUACAUCGGUUUUGACUUCUAAGUUCUAAUCGUCGACAUGUAUAAAUUUCGAUUUUUGGUAUAAUCUAUUCUAGCUCGAAUUCAUGGAUUAUAUUAUGGAUUGCAAAUCUGAAUUUGGAGUAUGUGGUAAUAAAUUGAGUAGUUUAUACAUGUUGGACUUGGAAUUGGAAUUAGGAGAAAACCUGCGAUUUGGACCUGUCACUUGUUUAAACUGCCUGAUUUAACUCUAGGAGCCGUUAUAAAUUGUACUGUCGCAGUAUCCUCGAGACGAGUACUCCAGGUAGUUUAGCAUACUUUUACACUCGUGCUGGUACGCCAAGUGGAUUUUUACAGGGUCGUUUGGGCUGUUCCGAACUGUUGGGUGCUGUCAGGUUGACAGUGGACCCGGAUUGCCUUUUUGGCGACAGAUUGUGCCGAGUACACGUGAACGGUUGAGUGUUGGACCAGUUAGAGUCGGUUACUUGACUUUGGCUUUUCAGAGCCUGUUUGAGCUCAACAGAGAUACGCUGCAUACUCGGUUGGGUAGCGCCCACGAGUGCCACUCUGGAGACGGGCUUUGUGCUUUUGCGUUGGUGUCGCUUAUGCCGGUUGGACUUGCUCUCCACGGACCAGUUAGUGUGGAGGUAGCUGGAUAGUCGCAACUCGGCAGGGGCGGGUGUAUUUACAGUCCCCGGGACGGGUAUGUUUACAGUCUCGAUUGGAUUGGGUCAGUUUUGACAUUUCCUACAGUUGGUUAGCUUAGAGCAAGAUGGUGUAGUGACUAGUAGCUGUAGAGUUCAUUCCAGCAUUUUACUUUUACCAUUCUCCCUUCUGUAGACUUAGUUGGUGGACCGAUGUUGUUUUGGGCGGCACCCACUGAGGACUACUUAUUUUUACAGUAGUUCUCACGCCCUGUUGUUACCCCUAUUUUGCAGAGCCACAGGUUUCGACUGCUGCGCCUUCCGCGAAUCAGGAUCGAGGCAAGGGCGUCGCGAGUUAGAGCCCUACCCGACGAGCAGAGCUAGAGGCACCCUACUGCAGGUAGAUGUUUUGUUUCGAGUUUAUGUACAUAGUAUACUUAACUCGCCAGUGCGAGUACUUUGUAUUUUGGUUUUGGACUAUGUAUAUGAAACUCAGUUUGUUUAGCUCUUGUUACUCUAGUAGCUCUCUACUACUAUUCGUAGUAGUGUAUGAUUUACAGGUACAGCAAUCGCUUCGUAUACAGGGGAAACUCCUUUGUAUACGGCGAGUUUGUCGGCGUGCCCGGGGAACGAGACAUCUGGGGCGUGACACAAGUUGUGCACUGCCCGGGCUAGGCAAUUUCAGGCCACAACUAUGAGAAUGCCAUGUCUACUAAUGCCACAACACACAAAGUGUUCCAUUCUCUAGCAUUCAAUGCCACAAAGUGCUAUUUCAGUUAUUUGUCACAAUGUCACCAUGUUCUCUACCUCAACUAGUUCAUGUUUCAAUUCAUACAUCUAUAGGGUUCACAAUUGUUCAAUGUCUCAUUACCAACUCAUAUGCAUUUUUAUACUAAAAGCAUGCAAGAAAUAUUCACAUAUUUCCAUUUACCCUACAAUGCAUGAAUCCUACCUAUACACAUAUAUGCUCAAAUGGUGACAUUAGACAUAAAGAGAAAUCCAACUAUUUCUGAUAGCACCACCCAUCUCGUAGGGAUGCUAAGGUGCUAGAAUCCGAGUUCCACAAUUUAUAGUCGCCGCUUUCCCCUGACCCACGGCAAACGAAGCCAAAAUUAGGUUUUUCCUCGAUUUCUCGACGUAGACUUAUCGGAAUUCUAGUCCGAGUCUCCUAAUGCGUCGGUUUUUACUCCAAUUAGGGCUACAAGAGAUCAAACUCAAGUUAGAUCUCAAGCUUAGCAAAACCCCAUUUUAACCCUAGGGUUUCCAUAAUCCACAAAUACUCCAUUUCCAUGGAUAAACAUGAGGUAAUCUAACAUAUUAUCCUUUAUAAAUCACAACUAGAAGGAAUUUAACCAAACCCUAACUUAAUACCACAAGAACUCACCUCAAGUUCAAGCUUCCUUCUUAACCCUUGCACAAGAGCUAGCUUCACUACUAAGCAAGCCUUCCUCUCCACCAAUCUUCUCUCUUGGAGCAAACCCUAGAGAGAAGAAGAGAGAAAGAGAGUGUCACACCCUGAGACCCGUUACCAAUUUGGUCUGGUUCGGGCGUGUCGAACAGACGUCGAACGGACAGGACCUCCCCUGUCCACCCAAGGCUAAACAACGAGAUCAUGUACAACAAGUUCCCAGGAAAUCACUUGAAUACAUACAUGAUCAUACAACAACAGCGAGAGCACAACCAGUGCUAAACAACCAAGAGCAAACAUCACGAGUAAAGUAUAUACAAGUGAAUAAAAGAGAGAUACUUAUCUAUUACAACCAUUCAAACUUUAAUACAUUGAUUACAUUUAAACUUCCCAAAAUAUAAACAUAGAGUUUACAAUCUUCCAAAAUCUCUCACACCUAUACAUCAUCUACUCUCAAGCAUGUAGGGUAACUACUAAUGCAAUAGGAAGCAUCUACAAUCUCUAGGGCGCUAAGCCCUUGCCACGAUCCUCGCCGGGAGUACUCGAGCUCGGCUGUCACACCCCGAGACCGUCACCCAUUUGGUCCGGUUCGGGCGCGUCGAACAGACGCCGAAUGGACAGCACCUCCCCUAUCCGCCCAAGGCUCAAGCACGGGAUCAUGUACAAGAAUUCGCCCAGGAACAAUUCAAUACAUACAUGAUCCAUACAACGACAAUAGAAGCAUCACAAGUGCUUAACAACAAGAGCAAGUAACACAUGUACAUAUACAAGUGCAUAAAGAGAGAAUUCUAUCUAUUACAUCACGAUUUGUCCAUUAUACAAUUGAUUUACAUUUUUUUCAUCCAAAAUAUAAGUAUAAGUUCAUUCACAUCUCUCCAAAAUGCAUCUCACAACCUAUACAUCAUCUACUCCUAUAUAAGUAGGUACCUCUAAUGCAGUAGGAGAGCUACUAAUGCUAGGGCGCUAAGCCCUUACCGCGAUCCUUGCCUGGAGCGCUCGUACUCGGUCCUGCAACAAAGUGGGGUGAGAACUAUCGUCCAUAGUUCCCAGUGGGUUCGGCCGCCAACUCCGCCGAUCUCCCCACUAGGUUCAAGUGGGCACAAGCAAAUAGAUAGAUAGAUAGAUAUUUGAAAACAAUAACGACAUAGUAAGAAAGCUAUGCUACUAUGCCCAAAUCAUAUACAAUGUAUACAUGCACAACGUGAUAAGUAAUCAACUAACAUGCCACUAUGUCCAAGAAGGAGUGUUAUUUACUUGUUCAUCAAUUCUCUUGACUUACCCAAUCCUUGGCCAACCCUGAGGUUCGCCCACGACUCACAUGCAUCUCAUGGUAAGGAGACUCAACUCGCUCAGCAAACCCGAGACCGUCUGCGGGAUCCCAUAAGGCUAUCCCCCAGACCCCAUAAGGCUAUCCCUCGUGUGACAAACUCCGGAGCGCACGCUUGUGUAGAGCGACCACCACAAGCUCUAAACAGACAGUGAGUAUGAUACAAUCCUCUCAACUCGAGGAUACCCUAUCCACUAGGGUUAACAGUCACUCGGAAAUCCACCUAUCCCAAUGUCCAUAUGCAAGUGUUUAACUACACUAAGUUCUUGUUCAAUGACUCAUCACUAGGGAAUCCGCCUAUCCCUAAGUUCACAUGUCAAGUGCCACUCUACACUAGGUUUUAUGCCACUCGUUCUGUUGUCAUUGUUAUUUAUAUGCCACUCGUUAUGUCUUUAUCAAUCAUCGAGUCCAUCUCUUAUUUCAGCACUAUAGGAUUCAAUGUCUCGACCCAAUCCUUAUCUUUCCACUAUAUCAAGCAUUCAACUCACACUAUGAUAUCAUCUAGGAAAGCAUAAGGAAAUGAAAACGCACAUUUAUCCUACAAUGCAUAUAUACAAAAGAUGCAAGAUUUAAAAUGCACUAAGACAUAAAGAGGAGCCCGGUUGCUUCGGGAUGACACCACCCACCUUCUGGUGUUGUCACGACUUUAGGAAUUAAGUUCGGAGAUUUUACGACGUCGUCUCGGCCUCCCAGGCGGAAACGAAGCUCAGAAGGUCCUUUUCGCCAAUACCUUUACACCCGCUUGACGAAUCGUCGAACCGUCUUCGCCAAUGCAUUCAAACACUUAGCAAUUAGGUUUACACUUGAUCAAUUUAGAUCAAUACCCAACAAAUCACAAAACCCCCAUUUUGGAGCCCUAACUUGCAAUCAUGCAAGAAUCCAUCUCUAAAUCCUCAAACUCAUGCAUUAAACACUUGUUAAACAUGCUAGAGUUCCAUUUAAACCAUUCUUGAGUUUAAAAAUCUAAACCCUAGAAAUCCACCAUGGUUGAGCUUCAAGCUUACCUUCAAAAGCUAGCUCCAAGGGUGUAGAGAAGGAAGAAGACGAUGAAGAUCCUUCUCCUUGCUUGCUUCUCCACCAAAACUCUUCUCUUCUUCACCUUCUAGAGAGAGAGGAAGAGAAUUUAGAAAGAGAGAGCUAGGGUUGAGUUUGGGAGAGAAAUGAGAAAGAGAGAGAGCUCACUCCCUCACAUACCUCGAACUCAUGCUACAAAUGCAUAAAAGCCGCUCAACUUUGCCAACAAUGCACAACCCAUCUUGGGCAAAUUCGGGUUACGGGGACCGAUCUCUCUAAGAGGGACCGGUCCCCGAGAGUGGCUUACUAGCAGAAAAAGGGCCCUCCCUCUUUUCCACGCUUACGGGGACCAGUCUCUCUAAGAGGGACCGAUCCCCGAGAGCUCACUCUCGCAGGACAGCCCCCCUUGCUCAGUUUGCAUGCCUACGGGGACUGGUCUCUCCCGCCAGGGACCGGUCCCCGAGAGCAACUUUUGUGCGCAGAGCCUUCUGCCACAUUUUCCAAGCUACGGGGACCGGUCUCUCCCACCAGGGACCGGUCCCCGAGAGCCAAAAAUCCUGCACUUUCCAUAAUCUUCACAACUCGCUCUCGGAGGCCUUCUCUAAUGCAUUUUUGGCCUUCUUGAUGCCUUCGGCUUUUUCAAAACACACCAAGUCGACAAUCAGUCGAUUUUCAUCGAAGUCCAACUCUCGCAUUUCGAGAAUUCACUUCCUUACAUCGGCCCUGCAAUAAAGUGGGGUGAGAACUAUUGUCCAUAGUUCCCAGUGGGCUCGGUCGCCGACUCCGCCGACUCCCCACUAGGUCCAAGCAAGCAUAGGCAGAUAGAUAGAUAGAUAGAUAAACAUGAAAGCGACCUAAGACAAUGCAAAUAUUCUACCAUGCCUCAAUCCAUAAUCAUGCAUGCAACAUGAGUAAAGGCUAACUACCAAGCUACCAUGCUCAAUAAUGAUGUAAUUCAUUAGAUUACCCAAUCACUCGGCUAAGCCGAAGGUUCGCCACCAUCUCACAUCUUAAAGUCUCAUAAGGAAGGAGUCUUUAAUCGCUGGCUACCCCCGAGACCGCCUGCGGACAGCUUGCUACUGUCCGGGCAGCUCACGACUGCCCCUCAAGUGACCAAAACUUCGGAGUGCACAGCUUGUGUGGAGCGACCACUCCAAGCGCAGACAGGCUAUGUGAGUUCGAUCCAAUCCUCCUGAACUGAGGAUACCCUACUAACUAGGGAUAGCAUCAUCAUGGAAAUUAGUGCAUUCCUGUACUCAAUCUCAUAGUGUUUCACUACACUAGGGUUCUCAUGCCACUCAUUCUCGUGUUCAACAUUAACUAGAUGCCACUCGUAUCAUUAUUUGUUUUCAAUCCACUACUUGUACACAAUUACUAGGUUGUCAUUUACCUAGGUUCCAAUCCAUCAUAUAUCAUCUCAUAUAGGGUUCUAAGCCAUAUCACAUUAACCUCAUGCAUACUAGGUUCAAGUGCGAAACCAAUGAAGCUACACUACUACCAUCAUGCAAGAAUAGAUACAAGCAUCUAAGCACCCUAUAUGUAUCAUGCUCAAUAUACAAAAUAUAGUCAACAAUAAACUUAGACAUAGGGAGCAGUUCAACUGCUUUGGGAUGGUCACGACCCACCUUUUUGCGAUGCUACGACUCAAGGAACGAAAAUUAGAAAUCUCCUAGGACGCCGCUUCGGCUUUCCGAAUAGAAACGAAGCCGAGACGCCCACCGCUUGGCGAUAUCUCCACACCAACUCAACGAAUAGUCGAACCGUCGCCGCCAACGCGUUUAGAUACCUAGCAAUUAGGUUUACAACCAACUAAUUUAGAUCAAAAUCCUAGAUUUCUCAAAACCCCAUUUUGGAGCCCUAGGUUUCAACAAUGCGAAAAUCCCUUGUUCUAGCUUGAGAUUCAAGCAUGGAACAUCCUCUAGGCAUACUAGAGUUCCAACAAAACCAUCUCUAGAGUAUAUAAACCCAAACCCUAGAAAAUACCAUUAAAGGGUUUUGGAGCUUACCUCCAAAGCUUUCUCCAAGCUUGAAGAAGAAGGAAGAAGAUGCUCUUCUUGCUCCUAGCUUCAAUCUCCACCAAGCCUCCUCUUCUUUCUUCCUUACUUGAGAGAGAGAGAGAGCUCUAGAGAGAGAGAGGAGUGUUAGGUUUCUUGUUGGGAAAGAAAAUAAGAGAGGAAGGAGCUCUCCUCCCUCAUAUAGCUCCCACUUAUGCAACAAUUGCAUAAAAAUCCCUCAACUUUGCAACCAUGAAGCAGCCCAUCUUUGGGCAUUUCGGGCUACGGGGACCAGUCCCUCUGAGGGAGGACCGGUCCCCGAGAGCAAUUCUUCCUAUGUUGAGCUUCAGCUCACCCUUACACGUGUACGGGGACCGAUCCCUCUAAGGGAGGACCGGUCCCCGAGAGCAAUUUUUGGCAGGUUGAGCAUCAGCUCGACCCCCCUCAUACUUACGGGAAUCGGUCCCCUCCCAGAGGGACCGGUCCCCGAGAGCACAAAAUCUGCAAUUUGUGCAGAUUUUGCACAACUUACUCUCGCGGGUCCUCCUCAAUGCACUUUAUGUAUUUUCAUCGCAUUCGGACUCUCCGAAGCACACCAAGCCGACGAUAAGUCGAUUCCAAACGAAGUUCAACUCUCGGAUUUCGAGAAUUUACUUCGUUACAGAGAGAGAGGAAAAUGUGAGAAGCUCUAGAGAGAGAAAGAGAGUUUCUACUCUUUGGUUCUCACAUGAGGGAAAUGAGAACUAGGCCAUAUAACCCAUAUAACAAGCUUCCCCAACACCAAUUACAACUAGGCCCCUCACAAAAUUACAGUUUUGGACCAACCCACCUUUCUGCGGCGGUACGGGGUCCGGACCUUGCAUUCAGAGUCCGAACCCUCAGAGCAUUUCUAGCACAAAACAACUUGAAAAUUUUCCAGCUUGCUCUCCAAGGUCCCAACACCCUAUCCAAAGCAUUCUGAAACAUUCGGAGCAAUUAAAGGACCUCACACCACCCUUCGGUCAAUUUGAUUGAAGUUCGGUAUAACUUACCGAAGUUUCGGUAUAUUACAUUCUUCACCCCUUAAAAUAGUUUCGUCCGUGAAACUCAAUUUCAUACCUUGGCUCAUCUACUCGAAUAGAUCAGGAUAGGUCUUCUGCAUUGCCUCCUCGAGUUUCCAAGUGGCUUCACGCUCUGCAUGAUUGCUCCGCUGAACUUUCACAUACGGAAUUGUACGAUUCCGCAACUUUCUUACUUCUCGAGCAAGGAUGCACACCAAAUACUCCUCGUAGGUCAUAUCCUCUCGCAACUCUAUCGGUUCAUUCUCCAAAACAUGAGAGGAAUUGUGGGCAUACUUGCAGAGAUUUGACACAUGGAACACGUUGUGAACUCCCGCAAGCUUCGGCGGUAAUGCGACUCUAUACGCCACCGCACCCACGCGCUCUAGAAUCUCAUAUGGUCCAAUGUAUCGGGGACUAAGCUUCCCCCGAACCCCAAAUCGCUUCACACCAUGCAUGGGUGACACUUUUAAGAAAACGCGGUCUCCAACCGCGAACUCAAGAUCCUUUCAAUGUUUAUUGGCAUAACUUCGUUGCCGCGACUGCGCCGUCACAAGCCGUUGACGGGCAAGGCGAACUUUCUCUUCCGCCUCCCGCAAGACAUUUGAACCAAGGGUAACUCUUUCACCCACUUUGCUCCAAUGAAUAGGGGAGUGACACUUCCUUCCAUAAAGAGCCUCGAAUAGUGCUAUCGCAAUACCUUCCUGAUAGCUAUUAUUGUACGCGAACUCUGCCAUCGGCAAAUAAUCGUGCCAUCCACCCUUGUAGUCGAGUACACACGCUCGAAGCAUGUCCUCAAGGAUUUGUAUCGUCCUCUCCGAUUGACCAUCACUUUGAGGAUGAAAUAUCGUGCUAAAGUUGAGCCGUGUGCCCAGAGUGUCUUGCAGACUCUUCCAAAAGUGAGAUGUGAACCUGGGGUCUCGAUCCGAUACUAUGGAUGUCGGAACCCCAUGCAGUCUCACCACCUCAUCGAGAAACACCUGUGCUAACUUGUCCCCAGGCCAAGUGGUAUGGAUCGGCAAGAAGUGAGCCUAUUUCAUCAAGUGAUCCACUACUAGCCAAAUAGCGUCAUGUUCGACUUGAGAUCGGGGCAAACAGGUCACAAAGUCCAUUGCGAUAUCUUCACACUUCCAAACGAGUAUAGAUAAACUUUGAAGCUUUUUCGCCGAAAAUCGGCACUCCGCUUUCACUUGUUGGCAUGUCAAACAUUGCGCCACAAAUUCUCCAACAUCCUUCUUCAUCCCCGGCCACCAAUAAUUCACUUUAAAUCUUUGUACAUUUUAGUGUCGUCCGGAUGCACACUGGGAGACUGAUACGCUUCUAGCAACAUUGCCUUUCGAAUAUCUUCAUCCUUGGGCACACACCAACGGUUCCGAAACCGAAGUGCGCCAUCGGACCCUACGCCGAAAUCACUAGCGCGCCCGCUCUCAAUUUCACCUCACACCUUUUGGAGAUAAGGAUCCGAAGCUUGCUGCUCUUUAAUCUUCUCCAACAAGGUCGGUUGAAUCACCAAUGCGGCAAGAAUAGCCGGAACCUAUGGAGCUACUACCUCAAGGCCAAACCGUUGCAUCUCAUUCUGUAAUGAUGGUUGAUGCGUAAUAGCUGUAGCCAGAUUUUCCACCGACUUUCUAUUAAGUGCAUCGGCCACAACAUUGGGUUUUCCUAGGUGGUAUAGAAUAGUGACAUCAUUGUCUUUUAAUAACUCCAACCAUCGCCACUGCCGCAUAUUCAGUUCCUUCUGGGUGAACAAGUAUUUGAGGCUUUUGUGAUCUGUAUAAACCUCACAGUGCUCACCGUAUAGGUAAUGCCUCCAUAGCUUCAAUGCGAAUAUCACCGCGGCUAGCUCAAGGCCAUGUAUCGUGUAGUUCUUCUCAUAGCUCUUCAAUUGGCGAGAAGUAUAAGCAAUAACUCGACCACUUUGCAUCAGAACACACCCAAGACUACUAUACGAGGCAUCACUAUACACCACGAAACUCUCUCCCGGAAUCGGUAAAGCGAGUACCGGGGUCGAAGUUAAUUUUUCUUUCAACUCCUUAAAGCUACGAUCGCAAUCGUCGCUCCAUACAUACCUUGUUCCCUUGUGUGUGAGGCGCGUAAGUGGAGUAGUCAUUUUAGCAAACCCCUCCACGAACCGCCGGUAAUAUCCCGCAAGACCAAGGAAACUAUGGAUGUCCGCAACCCUCGUCGGACGAGGCCAAUCUUUAAUCGCCUCAACCUUCUUUGGAUCAACUGAGACACCACUCCCAAAAAUCACAUAACCUAAGAAGGCGACCACUUGUAACCAAAAGUCACACUUCUUUAGCUUGGCAUAGAGCUUCUCUUUUCGGAGAACUUGCAACACGGUCCUCAAAUGCACCUCAUGCUCUUGAUCGCUCCGAGAAUAGACCAAUAGGUCGUCAAUGAAUACCACGACACAUCGAUCCAACAAUGGCAGGAAGACUUGAUUCAUCAAGUCCAUAAAUGCUGCAGGGGCAUUGGUAAGCCCGAACAGCAUCACCGUGAACUCAUAAUGGCCAUAUCGCGUACGAAACACCGUCUUAUGCACAUCCUCCAGCUUGAUUUUCAACUAGUGGUAUCCCGACUAAAGAUCAUUCUUCGAAUAUACCCGAGACCCUUGCAACUGGUCAAAUAAAUCAUCAAUUCUUGGUAACGGGUACUUAUUCUUGAUUGUAACCUUGUUCAACUCGCGAUAAUCCACGCAGAGCCGAAAUGUUCCAUCCUUCUUUUCACAAAUAGCACCGGAGCUCCCCACGGCGACACACUAGGCUUCACAAAGCCUUUAUCGAGCAGGUCUUGCAGUACUGAGCUUUUAACUCUCUUAACUCUGCCAGUGACAUUCUAUACGAAGCCUUCGAGAUUGGCGCCGUCUCUGGAACCAAGUCAAUGACGAACUCGAUCUCCCGAUCCGGUGGCAAUCCCGGUAACUCCGUCGGAAACACAUCCGGAAACUCACAUGCUAUUGGAAUAUCCCCAAGUGUUGGGAGCUCCCUUUGAGUCUCCACCACCGUCGCCAAGUAGGCCACACAUCCACCUUUGAUCAAUUUCCUCGCUCUCGACGCCGACACUGUCGCCGCGAAGCGCGAGCUCUUACACGCACGAUAAACUACUUCCUCCUGACCGGGCUCACGAAAAGUAAUCACCUUGCUUUCGCAAUCAAUGACGGCAUAAUACUUCGAGAGCCAAUCAAUUCCAAGGAUUACGUCAAAGCUCCACAUCCGGCUCGAAACAAGCAAGUCUGCCGACAUAAUCCAAUCGCCGAUUUGCACUGGACAAGCACGUGCAUUCCUCCUUGACACUAAAAGUAUGCUUGGGUGCAUAGACACACCAAGCAUCCGGACUAUCCAAAAUUUCGAUAUCAUGAGCUUUGGCGAAUGACAUGCUAAUGAAUGAGUUGGAUACACCAAUGUCAAAUAAUGCUCUAGUUCUAGUGCCAUUAAUUAAAACAAUACCUGCCACAACAUCAUCGGGUACGGCAGUCUCCUCCACUUGAGCUGCAAAAACGCGGCCACUUGGCGCCGCCCGAGAUCUCUCUGGCUGAUGCGACACUGAUGAGCGUCCAGCCGAUAUAGCAGGUGGCAGUCCCGCGAGUUGUCUCGGGGUGUACUGAACUGAUGCAGCCGUCAAGGCAGGAGAUGUCCAAUCCGGGCACUCCCAGAUAAUGUGUCCAGCUUGGCCACAUUUAAAACACCUCCCCACACGCUGUGGGCAGACCGACGAUUGAUGAUCAUCGCCGCAGAUAACACAUCGGGUAGGUCCCCAGUUCUUCGACUGCCGUCGUGGAUAUCGAGGAGGCCUUUUAGGACUCGACCGAUCCCUGAUACCACUCGCAGUCCGCUUCUUUCCAUUAUCCCUUUCCUUUUCCAUAGACUCGUGUUCCCCACGCGCAUAAACAUUGCCAUGCUCCGCCCACAAUGCUCGAUCCAAUACCUCUGCAGUCGUGAGCUUGAGGAUAUGCACCACCUUAUAAAUUUCCGGCCAAAGUCCCAACACGAACCAAUUGGUCCUAUCCUUGUCAUCCCGAACUACAUCCAGGACACAGUCAAUGAUGUGGGAAAACUCCCGCUCAUAUUCUCCCACCGAGCGGUUUCCUUAUCUUAGCUUCCGAUAUUGAUCCUGAAACUUCUUCUUUUCACUAUCAGGGAAGUAAUUUGUGAACAUUAAUCCCUGAAACUCCUCCCAAACCAUAGGCGGAAGGUUGGAGUGUCACGCCCUGGGACCUGGCAUAGGCCCGCCCGGUGCGUGCCCAGACCCGCCAUAUGCCUGCACAUAUAAGGCGUCUACAACAAAAGAGAUAUGGAAGCAAGAAGAAAUAAAGUCACUAGAGAUAUCAGAGCUAUUAACUAACAACAAGUGGAGAAAGGAAAAAGUAAACUACUAAACAUAAAGAUAAAGUAAGUACAACAAGAGUUAUCACAAAAGUACUACAAAAAGGGUGGUCUCUAUACAAGGUACAACUCUCAUCCUCUCCCAAAAAGAAAACAAAGAAGAGGUGGACCACCUAUCGAACGUCCCUCGCUCACAAGCUAGCUCGUGGCGAUACCCUUUCCGCGGUCCCUAGCCUCGCCCGGAGUGGAAGGCUCUGAAAUAUAAACAUGAAACAGAGGGCGUGAGAACUAUAAUUUAUAGUUCCCAGUGGGCAAUUACUGACCUCAGCACAAUGCACCACUAGGCCCAAAGAAAAGGGGUAAGUAAUGAUAAUAUUAGACAAUAAUAAGCUGCUGAAUUGAAAGCAUGUAUGAAAUGCAAUACUACUAUGCCACAGGAUAGAUGAUAUGUAACCAUUCUAUCAAGAUGAAAUAAGCACAAUACAUAGCUCGAAUGUUCUAUGAUGGCAACAAACAUACUAAAAUGUAAAGAGUAAUACUAUUAAGUAUAUUAUGAGUCUAUCUCGAUAUCCACCACUAUGUGGUAAGCAUGUCCAAAUAUCCAACUACUAUACCCUAUCUAGUAGUGAUUAGCCUUUGUAAGUUGACGUCACGGUUCAAUCUCAUUUGGGACCUACACAAGUGUAGUCCAGCUUGUGCCGCUUAAGUGUCGGUGGUAGCUCUAGCAUUCCCACUCUGAAAAUGAGUCUAUCCCUCCCGACCCCGUAGGUUUCUCGAUACCGCACGAACGAACAUAAGUCGUAUAGGCCAACUCCGGAGUGCCGGCUUGUAGGGAGCGACCCUCACAAGCAUGUGCGAAUGAGCACAAAUGGCAAGCAAGCAAUAACUCAAGUAUACAAUCAUCAUGUCUCUAACAUGGCAAUAAUCACUAGUAACCCAACGGUCUAGUUCUGUGUCCCCAUGUGAUGUUCCAACACUUACUAUACUUAGUGCCUCUUUGUGACACUUAAGCCUUAUGAUAACCUAAGUACAAUCCACAUUCUAUGUCCCUUCAUGGCACUAGUACUAGGUUCACACAUAACCCAAGCUCAAUGCCGCUUUAUGACAUUAGCUCCAAAUUUUCUCAUAACAGUCUAGUUCGAUGCCUCUUUAUGGCAUUAGCUAUCUCUCAUGUCUCUAACAUGCAUAGGUUUAAGUGCACUAAACAACGCUCAUUUUCAUUGUAAGAAACAUGGUCCCAAGUCCAACAUAAGAAUGCCAAAUGCUAGCAUAAGCCUCACAUGCAACUCUUUACUACAUAGAGGUCCGAAAAUUCAUUAUAUAUGACAUAGGGAUGUUAAGCAUUCUAAAAUUCACAAUAAAUACAUUUAGCAUGAAAAUGCAUGAAUUUUUACUUUACGAAGUAUAAAUCACCAAAUAUGAGCAUUUCUCAUAUUGUAGGCUAGAUCAAACCCACCAAACAACGCGCGGCCCUUCGUUUGCUCCAACGAAGGCGUCCACUAAGCUCCUAGCACCCUAGAAGCAUCAAAAGGUGAACUAUAAGAAGUAAAUGAACAACUAUUAGCUCAAAUAUUAACCAACUAGACAAAAGGGCCAAAAUCUCACCUAUAGUGAAGAAAUCUCUCUUCAAAGCUCAAAUGAAAGUCAAAUCCCUUCCAAAGUAACCUAAACCAAGGUUCUAAUUCCAUUAGAUUAGCUCCGAAAGUCUCCAAACAAAAAGCCUCAAAAUAAAUCCUAAAAUCCAAAUUUAGGGUUUCAUCUCCCAAAAUCGACCAAAACUAGGUCUAGGGGGGAGGAACAAGCAAUUAACCUCUUUAGAAGCUCCAAUCCAAGCUCCAAGAGUGAAGAUCUCCUCUCUAGCAAGCUCCAAGUCCAAGCCUCCAAGCACCAACAAAGUGGGAAGAGAGGGAGAGGAAGAGGGUGAAGCUUCAAGUCCUCAAACAAGCUCUUCUUCUUCUUCCUUCUUCUUCUUCUCCUCCUCCUUCUUCUCCUUCUCUCUCUAAGAUGCAAGGGAGAGUGUGAAAUGAGGGAGAGAGAGAAGUGAAAUGGCCAUAUAGGCCCUCUAUUGUAACAAAAUCCAAAAAAGUCCCUUUACUUUGCAUCCAAAGCAUCAGCCCGAACUGGGCAGUUUUCGCCCAGAGGGACCGGUCUCUCCCAGCUCGGACCGGUCCCUCGGGACCCUCCCGCAAAACCAGCUCUCGGGAACCGGUCUCCCCAGCCGGGGACCGGUUGCCUCGUCGUGGGGGACCGGUCUCUCCCACCAGGGACCGGUCCCCGAGAGUAAAAAUCUCAGGACUUGUCCAAAAACUCAAAUUUCGAACUUUUUGGUCGGAAUACACACUACAACAAAAACGGUCUAUAGCGACACUUUUAAAUAUAGGUACAUGUCAAAAAAGUGCUGCUAGCUAAAAUUACCGACACUUUUAAAAAGUGUUGCUAUAUGUGGGGUCGCUAGGUAUAUAGUGACAGUUAAAGAGUGUCGCUAUAACCUAAAAGAGUGCUGCUAAUUUACCAAUACUUAUUUAAGCAUUUAGCAACAGCCGAAACUCUAUCUCGUUGGCUGUGGUGGCGGAGGAGAACGACAGAAAAGGCUAUUCGUCUAGAAUUUCAGUGGAUUGAGUGAAGAGAGAAGAAAAGAUGGUAAUUGAUUUUUCUUUUGUUUUUCUUUUUUGUUUGUAAUCGGGUCAAAUGGACUAGGUGUGGUUGGUUGAGUAGAGUAAUCUUUUAUUUUUGGUUGGAUUGGGCUUUAUAUUUAGGCAUAAGUAGAUGUUUUUUUAAGUUUUAGCAUAAAUGGGACACUUACUCAAAAGUGUCCCAAACAUAUGUCCCUAUAACCUAAUUCUGUUGUAGUGACAGUCUACGACCCUCCACCAAGUGUGGGAAAAGCUCGGAACACCAAACCGAAACACUCGAACCUUGCAAUUUGCGAAAGUCCAGUGUGUUACAUGGAGGGUCGGUCCCGCUUCACCCUCUUCCAACACAUCUUCGCCGCCUUCUCUAAACAGUGCAUGGCGAGGUGCACCUUAUCUUUCUCCAAGUUAUAAAUAUCCUCGAAGAGUGUUUCCAUCGAGUUGACCCAUGACUCCACCAUCCAAGGUUCCACUUUUUCUCCGUCAAACACAGGCGGGUUGAACUUCUUAAACAUUACGAGGACCACGAGUGCACGCUCCCUCUCCGUCUACAGCGCCGCACCCUCGGGAUUUGAGGUUCCCGAAACUGGUUGCUGCCACCGACGGUGCAGAUCGCACCGCCACUGGUAUAGCCACCACGGCCACACCCUCGGUCGCACCUCGGUAUUACGACAGGGGGCGCAGGUCGCUCGACGCACACUUGAGCCGUCGUCGCCUGUGUUGCGCCCAAGCCUCCUGGAGUCGCUGGAUUUGCUCCCCUCUGGCGUUGCACUGACUCCACUUGUUGUCGCACUAUUCCCACCAGUGCGGACACCAGCUCCCGGAGCUCCCUAUCGCCACUCGCUUCGGAUUGCUCAGGAGCCAAACUCGAUUCCUUGGGUGUCGACCUUGUUCGAGGUCUACCACGAGGCAUAGCUUCCUGAAUGUAACAACCACAUUAGUUACUUGACCCAUGACGCUAAUACGCCGCUACAAUAUACUAAAACAAAAUCAAAUCAGGCGAAAACAUUCAAAUGAAUCCACGAGGCAUAGCUUCCUGAAACGUAACAACCAUAUUAGUUACUUGACCCAUGACGCUAAUACGCCGCUACAAUAUACUAAAACAAAACCAAAUCAGGCGAAACCAUACAAGUGAAUCCAUUCUCAUCCCUAGGCAUCAUGUUGUAUUAAGGAUUUUGUAUUGGCAAGUUUCGUGAUUUGAGUCGGAGUCUUGAAGGGUUCGGUGCGUUAUUGUCGAAAAUUGAAGAAUCCAAGACUUUGAGAACUCAAAAACAUCUCACCGCAUGAAUCACGAUGCUAAGGUAAGGUUUUAAUUCAUGGUAUGGUGAUUCAUACUUAGUUAUAGACAUUAGAAUCAUGAAAAUCAAAGUUUACUGGAUUAGGAAGUACAUCGGAACUUUGCAAAACCCGAAACCAUGCAAAAAUCAGGAAAAUGCAAAGUGUACCGGUACAGCAUUGAAAGUGUACCGAUACAAAUUGUGUUCCUGUACAACCAGUGACAUGUCACCGGUUACAGUGUUUCGCAUGUUUUCUUUUCCGUUAUCGUAUAACCGGUAACAAUUUGAAAGUGUACCGAUACACAAUGUAAAUUUCUGAAAAACUUUCUAAUCCGACUCCAAUUGAUUCUAAAAUCUAUAAUAAGCUAUUGGGGUUCUCUAACACAGGAAGCAUCACGAAAAUACAUAUUUGAGAAACCCUAGAGGCUCGAAAUUCAUCAAAACCCUAUUUUCUUCAUAAUAGCCUCUUUUAGGUCAAAUUGAGAGAUUGUAAUUUAAUAUCAAUAUGUCGAUUUGAUCUACGCUUCGCUUGAAGUUUUCUUCUCUGGUUUUCUACAAUAUUCUAAGCGAAAGAUCACCAUAAUCAUGAUGCUCUUCAUAAACGGCGUCGUGGAUUCGGCGUGAUCAAUGUUCGAGGAUUCGGAUCGAAAUCUUCAUGGAUUCGAAGUGGUAGAGCUUCGUGGAUUCGGAGAGGAAGCAUUUCGUGGUUUCGAGACGUGGCGUUCGUGGAUUCGAACGUGAGGGCGUGGACAACCCAGACGAUUGCACGAGAUUCAUAAGAUGUUUAGAGAGGUCGAGUCGGUGGAGUUGGUAAUUACCUUGUAAUAUUUUCUCUUAGUGAAUUAUUUUUUCGCGUGUUGGUCCCGUGGGUUUUUUACUCCAAGUUGGAGUUUUUCCACGUAAAUCUUGGUGUGAUUUUUAUUUUCCGCAUUUACUUUUAUUGUAUCGAGAUUUGUGGUUUUGGCCGUUACACCUAUUCACCCCCCUCUAGGUGUUGAAUACAAUCUAGAUAGAUCCUUAGGUACCCCAAAACUUACAUGUUGUCGGCCGCCCAACAUAACCCUUGGAGCAGAGAACAAAUGUCAACUUGGAUUAGUCCCUAAUUACCGUUACAGACAUACUAACACUAACCCAAUCCGCAUGGCUUUCACUAUAAAUCAAUUCCACGUCACUCACGUCCCUAGAUCCUUAAGGUUUCCAUCCUAAGGGUUCCUAGGUCCAUCCUAAAUGUGUCACUUUUCAAGGCUCUAAUACCA
rnacentral:lncRNA from 1 species